CAUGCUCACGUCCCCUUCCUCCGGGCAUCACUACACGGCGCCCUCAUCAUCCGGCCAAGAAAUGGGGCGAGCUCAUAUCCAUUUCCAAAGCCAGACAGGGAGGUCCCGAUCAUAAUAGGUUCGUGAAUUAGUUGCAUCAUAUUCUCUAGCUGUGUUAGGAGAAUAGAAAGAAAUUGUACCUGUUUUUUAUUGCUCUUUGGAAAAUAGAAGAAUGGACUGUUCCUAUUUGAAUUGACCUGCCUUUGACUUCCGCAACGGACUAUUGGCAGCUAGACCUUGCACAGGCGGCAAGGAGGAUGAUGCAUGGUUUCUUGUUUUCUUUCGCCAAUGCUUCCACAAUCAAUGGCUAGCUUGGAGAUAUCUUCAAUUGCUCUGGUAAGAAAUUACAGCAUUGAUGUCCGUGUCAACGACAUAUUCCUUCUUUUCUGAAAAAAGUGUCUGCAUGAAGUCGAGUCUGAAGGUGUGCCGGAAGAUAGCUACCACUGGUGGAAAACUAGCCUUUAGUUCCGGUUGGUAGGGAGCAAAUCUCCCGAAAAUCCAUCCGGGAUAAAACAAUCAAGACAAAAGGGGAUCUUUAGUCCCGGGUCUUUUAACCGUGAGUAAAGCCCCUCUUUAGUCCCGGUUGGUAAAACCAACCAGGACUAAAGGGCCUGCCAUGCCAGGCGUAGGACAGGGCCCUUUAGUCCCGUUUAGCUCCGGUUGGGUUUUCCAACCGGGACUAAAGUCCUGCUUGAAAUUUCAGGCGCGCACCAUGUAGGUGCCUGCAUGGUCCUUGUAAUUUCAUGCAUCUCUACGUACCCCUUUACUUAACCUUUAGUAGUUGAGAUUUUUUUUAUAAUGAAAUCAAACUAGUAUUUAUACAAUUACUAUAUAUAUAAUUCUUAGUAUAUAUAUACAAUUCUAGCAUAGUAUACAAAUCUUAGCGUAUUAUACAAAUCAAACUAUCUACAAUCUUCCCAUCGAGGUGUUGCUCGGAGCGUCUAAAUUUCGUCCAUCGUAAUAAAAUUCUCCUUGUGGAUUUACCACCUCGUCCACCAUGAAUCCAAUGAGACCUUCACAUAUUGCCGCUACUCUUUACUUCUUCAAGAGUCCAUGUUAAAUAUUUAACAUUUAUAAUUUGGAAACAUGUGAAUUUUACACAAAUAAUUAAAUAUAAGGAGGUAGAAAAUAAUUAACUAUUUAUAGUUUUAUUUUAUGUACUUUAUUGUUGUGCGGCAACGUCUUUCCCUUCGGUCCCGCAAAACUAUGCAUGUGCUCAGAGACGUAGUAGCCACAUAGAUUAUUCCCAGGUUCCUAUCUUAUGCACUUGAGUGGGAAAAAAAUAAGUUAUGAAAUAUUCGUGUUAUAGAAUGUACAAAAUAUGCAGACUUCAUACAUACCGGGAAGUCUGUGUUCCAUGUAAGUUUUUCUUUGAAUGGACCUUUGUGUGUCCUGAUGAAUUGUCUCCAUGCGCUACGAAUUAAAAUAAUGAAUGAUAUAGUGUUAGGUGAAAAUUUAGGAAACAAAUUUUUACAUAGAGAUAAAGGUCUAGAAUUAUUACAAGCCCAGCAUGUCUUGCAUGUCUUGGUACUUCAUCGAAUCUUUCCUCAACGAAUCGAAGACAGUAACGUGGCUUAUUUCAAGGUCAAUUAUAAUAAGGAUCCAGUGGUAGCUGCGUACGUAAAUGUUCAUAUAUAUUAGAGCUAACUAACAUUAAUCAGGUAAGGAAAAAGAAAACGAAAGUAGACGGUAGACACACACUUACUUGAAGUUGUAUGGAAGUAGUAUGAAAUCCUUGAAUUUUUGUUUGUCUAGAAAAUUGUAUACUUUCACUAAGGUUUUGUCCGGCGCAUCCUGUACCUAUUUUUGGUUAACUAUGGAUGGAUCCAAGAAGCCAACAUGGAGGUAUGCUUCUUGUCGGCACGUCUGAAUUAGCAUCCUACAUAAAAUGGAAGAUGAAGUUAGUACGGUGACGCAUGCACAAAAAAUAAUGAUAUGAGCUAAAAUUUACAUCUAGAUAAAUGGACACUUAUAGAACCCAGGCGCUGAUCAGAGAGACGUCCAGGGCAUCAUGAUGGUACACUUCGUAUAUAUCCUUGAAUUCUAGCCACAGAACUUUCUCGCCUUCGCUAUAAAAACCUAUCAGUUUUACCUUCAGGCUGAACAUCUCCCUUGAGUUGGCGGACACCUUCUUAUACCAUUGAUGGAAUUCGUACAUCUUUGUUGAUAGCUUCAGUACCAACUCAGGCCUUACCAGAGACUUGCCUAGCUCAAAGGUCCAUCUCGGUUCAACUGGCAGUGCAGCUGGCAACUCUACUUGCCCUAGACAUUCAUUAAGUCCUAUACCUGUUUCUUCCAUGAAUUGCAAUACUUGUGCUUGUUGAUCCAAGGGCAUUGCUGCUAUCUUUUUAGCGUCUUUUUCUGGUAGAUGCCCGAGGUCGGGGACAACACCACUGGAAGAUGACUUUCCUUUUCUUUUUUUCCUCACAUCAGUCUUGACUAACGCCCGUUCGUAGUUCGAUAGUGGUGGUAUCCUCUUCUUGGCUCCUUCUUGAAUCCUGAUAAAAAAAUUUAAUUCUCUUCGAUUUACUCAUGGUGGCUCCAUCUCCCUUGCUUUUUUUUCUUCAGCCUGUUUCUUAAAACCACUCCCUAGCCUCUGCUUGGAUUUCAGCCCAGUGUUCCGCAUGAGUCAUUACCUCCUAGGGUUCCUCAUGAGUCACUUUAGGCUCCUUUGUUUUCUUCUUUUUGUGUCUUGGCUUGGGAGGCGGUGGUCGCGACUUCUUAAGUGGUGCUGCAGGUUCCUUGCUUGGGGCUACUCUUAGUCCUGGCGGCGGUGAUCGGGGAGGGGUGUUGUUGUCGUCAUCAUCACUCCCACCACCAUGAUGUGGUGGAGAUGGAGACCUUGAUCGAGCAGGAAGCGAUGGUCCUGGAGCAGGUUGUGCUGGAGAUGACGGUCUUGAACUUUCAGGAGAUGGUCACUGAUGGGGAUCUGCAGGGAGCGAUCUUGAGCUCUAAGGAGAUGGCUCCGUGCCAUGGAUGAUGAUGUAGUGUUUGCGCCAUAGAAUGAUCCCGUGAAGCGCAUCUCCUAGUGUCCUUUCCCCGUCGCCUCCCGGGAGGUCGAGCUUUGGGCCUUCAUAUUGGCUAUCAGCGAGCUGCUCUAGGCCGACUCUAGCAUAGCCAGGUGAAAUCUCCAUGCCAUGGCUGGUUUGCCCUACCAGGAUUAGUAAGGCAUUCCCGUAUGCCACCUGUACACAUAGCAGAAAUAAAGAAGUUAUUAAACUUUGAUCCUGAGGUGUGGAUCGUUUGAGAAGAUUGCAUAAAUAUUAUGUAUAAGUAUACCUUAAUGGUGAGGUUGCCGACUGGUGUAUGCAGCUCACAUGAGGUGCAUUGCAUGAUAGCAUCCACAGUGAACCGUUGCUAAUCCACAGGUAAUCUUGGUGUCUACGGAUCGGGGAGCCUUGUAGAAGCACAACUACUCCUGAGGUGUUGAGAAAGCGGAUCUGGCAACGCUCUAGAUUGGGCCAACCCCGCAACUGUGUGGGCCACUCGACGAUUGAUUUUCUCCUGCAUUUUUUACUUCUUGUGAAUGCACUUUGGAUUCUAGCAUGCGCCACCAGCUCUCAUCGAUCUGUUCCUUUCUUCGCUUUGUGGCUUCUAUACGAGGCGCUGUCACCUCGAAAAGCAAACUUCCACGAAACGACCCGAACCCUCGGCAACGUCCUGGUUGCUCGUGAUUCCCAAGGGCCAAUGUGACCUCAUCAUUUUCUUGAUAAGCCUUUCGACCUUCUGAUGUAUUGUCUCAUUGAAGUGUUUCUACAAAUUUGAAGUCUUCAAUGAAUCCCACAAAAUUUGAAGUGUUUCUACAAAUUUCUACUAAUUCCUACUAAAUUCUACCAAAUUUGAAGUGUUUAUACAAAUUUCUACUAAUUUCUAAGAAUUUCUACCAAAUUUGAAGUGUUUAUACAAAUUUCUACUAAUUUAUUGGAAUUUCUAGAAAAUUUCUACUAAUUCCUACUAAUUUUAAGAAUUUCUACCAAAUUUCUACUAAUUUUCGAAGCAUUUGUACUAAAUCAUAGUAAUGUAAUAAAAAUUAUAUUAAAUGUUACAAAAUUAGACUAAGCAUUUAUACUAAUAAGUGUUUAGCAUUUCUACAAAUUUCUUCUAAUUUUUGAAUCAUUUAUAAUAAAACAUAAUAAUUUCUAAAAGUUAUACAAAAUUAUAGUAAGCAUCUAAACUUAAUUAUACUAAUUUCCUAGUAAUCAUAGUAAUUUCUUACUGAGUUUCAACUAAUAAUAGUAAUUACCUAUAGAUUUUUUACUAAUCUACAGAUUUUUUACAAAUUUCUAUUGAUUUUGUAGCAAAAAAAAUGGGCUCUUGCGUGAGCAAGGGCCCCACCGUAUGUGCAGGAGCUAGGGCUGGUGGGGGUUAGGCGGUGGCGACGGGAGGAGGGGUCCGUAAGGCGGCCGUGGUGAUGAAGUGGCAAUGCUCGGGAUGAGGAGGCCGGGGUGGCGGCAGCGGGAAUAGAGGUGGCGGCAACGACGGGGAUAGAGGCAGCGACGAGGACAGAGGUAGCAACAAGGCGGCGCGACCGAGGCGGUGGCAACGAGGAGACGCGAUGAAGGAUGCGGUGGGCCGGUGUGACGGAGGAGGUGGCGGUCUAGGUGCGGGCGAGGUGGCUGGGGUGGCGAGUGACGGCUCUAGGGGUGAUGGGCAAUGAGGAGAACGGUGGCCGGCGAGGGAAGCGAACGGGCAGCGACGGAGCAGGUGGACGGGUGCGGAUCUUGGCAGGAGUGAAAAAAUUGCCAAAGAGUUGAAGGAUGAGUGGGCUAGAAGACGACUGUUACUUUUAUCACCCUGCCCUUUAUCCCAGUUCGUAAUUGAAUCCGGGACUGAAGGAGCCUUUUGUCCUAGGUCCAAAUAGCAACCGGGACAAAAGACCCCCCUAUCCCGGGUGCAAACCGUAACCAGGGUAAAAGGGUACGUUCCGGGCGAGAAUCGAAAAAUACCCUUUUAUCUGGGUUCCAGUUUGCAUCCGGGAUAAAAGGGGGUGCCUUUUGUCCUGGUUGCUAUUGGCACCCAGGACAAAAGGGCCUGUUUUUUGGAAAUGGAUUUUAUUUAUGUUUUUACUGGAUUUCAGGAUGCAAAAAAAUAAAACUUUACAUAUUUCAAAUAUGCAAAAAUAUAUUAAAUUAGAUAAGUUUGAAUGAGUCAUUAAUUCUAUACCAGUUCUUUUAGCUUCUAAAAUAAUUAUUUAUUGCAUCGCUAUCAUCAAGAAAUUAUUCAAUUAAAUAAUUUCAACGCGUGAAAAAUUGAAUCUAUGUAUGUGGUUAACAUUGUUCAUAUUGAUCUAAUAAAUCCUCACCUCAACUAAUUUAAACAUAGAUGAAAUCAUACAUAUGUUAAACUAAAAAUUGUAUCAAGUAGUACAUGACAUCAUAGAACUUUACAAUGUAACUUUACAUAAAGGUGAAGCAAAUUUGGUGCAUUACAAUGUAAAGUUAAAAAAAUUUCUUCUUCACAAAAGUUUCUUGAUCAUGAUCGCGGUGUAACUACGGAGCCUCUACUUCGGAUAGCAAGAUGUUUGGGUUAACUUCAACAAUGAAUGGAGGCAAGCCAUCAAACUGAUCACAAUCAUCUGAUUGGUCUGUUUCGUCCUUGACUCCCACGAUUUUUCUUUUACCUGGAAGAACUAUGUGGCGCUUUGGCUCCCAUGGCCCUUCUGGAUUUCUCUUGGGUUUGCUAGAUAUGUGCUUCACAUAGAAAACCUAAUGCACAUCAUUGGCAAGUACGAAUAGUUCAUCACUAUAUCCAGUCUUGCUCAGGUCCACUAUUAUCAUUCCGUACUGAUCUUUGUUUACACCAGUUAGCUUCACCCAUUUGCAACAAAAUAGAGGGAUGUACAGCGGUUCGUAUUCGAGUUGCCAUAUCUCCGCUAUGAAACCAUAAUAUGACUCCUUGCUACUGUUUCUGUCUAUGGCAUGUAUGCGAACACCACUAUUCUGGUUCGUGCUUUUCUGGUCUUGGGCUCUUGUGUAAAAUGUAUAACCACUUAUCUCGUAGCCUUAGAAUUUCACGAUUGUGCUAGCAGGUCCUCUGGCUAACCAAGUGAGCUGUGGGUGAAUUUCGAAGUUACCCAUAAGUUGUUGGUGCAACCAGGAAGGAAAAGUGUCCAUGUGAUGACGUGUAAGCCAGGCAUCAGAUUUUGUCGGAUUUUUGGAAACUAGGAUCUGCCUAUGUUGCUCGAUAUACGGAGCCACAAAGGAUGACUGCUGCAGAAAAUUGCAGUGUGCCUUGUCGAACAAAUCAGUAUCAUUGCUCAACUUGAUUUCCUUCCAAGGGUGCCUAUUGCUCGUAGCCUCCCCUUGUGGCGUGAAGUUGGAACCCCAAUCGAGUCAAUUGAGUCAAUAAAAUCAACACAAAACUCGAUCACCUUCUCUGUUCCAUAUCCCUUGGCAAUGCUUCCUUCUGGACGGGCACGAUUAAGAACAUAGCUUUUUAGGACUGACAUGAACCUCUCGAAAGGCCACAUAUUGUGCAGGUAUAAUGGUCCGAGAAUACCAAUCUCUUUUACUAGGUGAACCAGGAGGUGCGUCAUAAUAUUGAAGAAGGAUGGUGGAAAUACCAACUCAAAGCUGACAAGACAUCACACCACAUCAUUCUGUAGCUUUGCUAGUUUGGAUGGAUUGAUUGCCUUCUACGAAAUCGCAUUGACAAAUGCGCAUAGCUUUACGAGCGGCAAUCGGACAUUCUCUGGUAGAAAACCCCUCAGUGCAACAGGAAGCAACUGGGUCAUCAACAUGUGACAGUCAUGGGCCUUGAGAUUUGUGAACUUUUUUCUUUCAUAUUUAUUAUUCCCUUUAUAUUCGAGGAGUACCAAAUGACACCUUCAUACUACUCAAGCAUUCAAACAUGCUAUCCUUCUCUUCCUUGCUAAGAGUGUCACUGGCAGGACGUAAGUAGUGUUGUCCGUUAUCUCUCUUUUCCGGAUGUAGGUCAUCUCGUUGCCCCAUGGUUUUCAGGUCUUAUCAUGCUUCCAAUGUAUCUUUUGAGGUCCCAUAAAAACCCAUGAAGCCUAGCACAUUCACGCAAAGAUUCUUUGUCAGGUGCAUCACGUCUAUUGCAUUGCGGACCUCUAGGAUUUCCCAAUAAGGUAGCUCCCAAAAUAUUGACUUCUUCCACAUGGGUACACAUCCGUUAUUGUCGUUCGGAACAGGUUGGCUACCAAGCCCCUUUCCAAAGACUACCAUUACAUCCUUUAUCAUCUAAAAGACACGCUUUCUAUUAUGGUGUGCAGGUUUUUUACGAUUGUCUGGCGCGCCUUUGAAAUGCAUCCCGCUCUUUCUCACCUGGGGUGGGUAGGGAGAAAUCGACGAUGACCCAUAUAGAUGACCUUCUUAUAGUGCUUCAAAUAUAUGCUGUCUGUGUCAUCUAAACAGUGGGUGCAGGCCCGAUAUCCCUUGUUUGUCUAUCCCGAAAGACUACUCAGUGCAGGCCAAACAUUGAUAGUCACAAACAACAAUGCUCCUAGGUUAAAAAUCUCUUGUUUAUCAUCAUCCCACACACAUAUACCUUCUUCCUUCUAGAGCUGUAAAAGUUCAUCAAUCAACGGUCUUAGGUACACGUCAAUGUUGUUGCCGGGUUAUUUUGGGCCUUGGAUAUACGCCGGCAUCAUAAUGAACUUCCGCUUCGUGCACAGCCAAGGAGGACGGUUGAACAUACACAGGGUCACAGGCCAAGUACUAUGACUACUACUCAACUCAUAGAAUUGAUUGAAUCCAUCAGUACUUAAACCAAACCUUAUGUUUCCUGCAUCACUUUCAAAGUUCAGGAAUGCUCUAUCAAUUAAUCUCUACUGAGCCCCAUCAACAGUGUGUCUUAGCAUCUCAUCUUCCUUACAUUCUUCUUUGUGUCAUCGCAUCAAUUUAGCAUUUGCCUUGUUCCUGAACAAGCACUUCAAGCUUGGUAUUAUAGGAAAGUACCACAUCACCUUCGCGGAAACUCUCUUCUUGGGAGCCUGCCCCAUGACAUCACCAGGAUCAUCUCACCUGAUCUUAUACUGUAGCGCUUCGCACAUGGGACAAGCAUCAAGUUUCUCGUAUUCAGCACCACGAUAGAGGAUACAGUCAUUAGGGCAUGCAUGUAUCUUCUGAACCUCCAAUCCUAGAGGGAAAAUAAUAUGUUUAGCUUCAUAUGUUGUGGAUGGAAAUUCAUUAUUCUCGGGAAGAAUCUUCUUGACAAUUUUCAACAUCCCCUGAAAUUCUUUAUCGAACACACCAUUUUUGGCCUUCCAUUGCAUAAAUUCUAGUAUAGUAACCAGAUAUUUAUGGCCCUGCUAGCAAUCUGGGUAUAACAAUGUUUGGUAAUCAUCUAUCAUGUGCUACAACUUUGCUGCUUCCUUCUCAGUUUUGCAGUCUCUAUGUGAAUCCCGUGGCACCUGACCAAGGUCAUCAGUAGGGCCAUCUUCUGCAAACUCAUAUUCAUCAACCUCGCCCAUUGUAGUAUCUGCAAAAUCUUGGCCUGCAGCCUAGUCUGGAAUGUUGUCAUCAUCCUCCUCCUCUUCGCCAUCUUCCAUUACAACCCCUCUUUCGCCAUGCUUAGUCCAAACAAAUAGUUAGCCAUGAAACCAUAUCCAAACAAGUGGCUGUGAAUAGUCCCCCAGAAAGCUUGUGAAUAGUCCUUGUUACUGCAUUGGAAGUAUGGACAACAUAUGUACCCGUUCUCUGGCUUGUUCGCUUUGGCGACUUCGAGAAAAUAAUGCAAGCCAUCAAUAAACACCUUGCUUCAUUUGUCCGCAUUAUACAUCCAUUGCCGGUCCAUCUACAUCGUAUUACGCACGAAAAUAGAUUACACAUGAAAAUGGAUUACUCAUGAAAAUGGAUUACACAUUUUUUUCCUUUUUUUAUUUUUGUUGUACACAAUUAAUUUUAAUAUGAUUUUUAGCAAGCAGGUCUUUAACAUCUUGCCAACGUUAUAAAUGUUAGGUUAUAUGGUAGUUGUUUUUUUACCAAUUCAAAUAUAUUGUUUCUUCAUCCUUUAAUGAUUACAAAUAUUAGGUUCUCUUGUUGCGAAUAAGUGUGACAAUUCCAUUUCGCAUCAAAAUUCAUCUUUACGUGCCUAUUGAUGGUUAUUUGAUACGCUUUAUGACUUAUAUACAUGCUAUUCACGAUUGAAAGCAUGCCAAACUUUGUAGUGCAAAUGAUGCUGAAAGUUUAGAUAUAGAUAGAAAUACACAUAUUUAAAUUUCAGAUCCAAACAACAUGAUACACUACAACAAACCAUCCACUAAAAAUUAUCUAGGAGGACUUUAAGCAUGCUUGGGCAAUGAAAACGAAGGUUUCGCUGACCCAGCCUCAUCCUGUGGUUUAUUUGUGCCUCCUGCAAAAGUAGUACUAAGUGGACGUGAAACAUCGCGACUGGCAGUGGAGCAUAACGACCACCAAAAAGAGGUUUCUAACCCGCCGCAACAGCAUUUUCAUGACAUCUUUGAAAAUAACGAGGCAUUGCUUCCUCCCAUGUGCUCAUUUUUUUCGGCUUACCAUAAGGGCCAACUAUAGUUUUCCCCUUGCCACGAGAGGAACGACGAUCGACCCACCAUCGCCACUACCUCCAGCAGCAGAAGUCAUCUCUAUGUAAAAAAAUUCAUAUCUUAGCACUGUAGAACUUGUUAAACUUGAAGACCGUGAUCAUCUCGAUGAGCAUUUCUCCACCGGGCGGCACCGUACUUCGCAAUGGAAGAGCUCUGAUUCUAUGAGGAAGGGGACAUGAUCUUCCAUGAUGUCCAUUGCUUCUCUUCCUUGUAGAAUCGAAGCUCCUCCUUGACGUCCAUUGCCACUCGGUGGAGAACAUGCUCACCGAGAUGAACAUGGUAUGCAUGUUCAACAAGUAUGGAUUUGAAAAACCAUAUUGAAUUUGACAAGUUAAACCGUCUAGACAAGGGUAGCAUCAUUCUUAAACCGAUGCAAGAAUACAUACUAUAUAUGACACAUAUGACAUACUAAUUUUUUUCUCAUAAUUAAUAUUGAAAUCCUCUCCUUUCUACCUCACAUUUACUCUCCAUUCUAGCUCAAAAUCCUCACCAUUUUCUACUUCACAUUCUAGCAAAUAAACUAUCCAUCUCCAUUCUGCACAACAAGUUGUUUUAAGUAAUAUGAAUCAUAUAUAACAAGAAAACUAUCCACCAUAUUCUAGCUCAAAAAUAUGUAUAAAUACAAAUCCUCUUCAUUCUCCCUCUUUCUAACAAAUAAACUCAUUUUUCUUCCUCUCUAAAGCAUAAAACAAAGCAUAACAAGAGAAUGAAGUAGCUAACCUUCAGAACACUUUGGAUGAGUGAAAUCCCCAUGGAAAUGACAAAAAAAAUUUGGGAAGCACCUCCCCUAGGCUUGCUUCGGCGCCAUAGAGAGUAGGUGAAGCUCUCUAUCUUUGUGGAGUGGACUGGCUCGGGCUGGAGGAGGAAGAAAGGCCUCUGUCUCGGGAUUUAAUGGAGGAUGAGUUUUUAUCCCGGUUUGAAAUUCCAACCCAGAUAAAAAGGAAACCCUUUUGUCCCGACUGAAGUUUACUCCCAGUUGGAAACACCAACCGGGACAAAAGCGCAACCAUUCCAGCCAGGAGUAAACUUUUUAUCCUAGUUGGUAACUCCAACCGAGACAAAAGGGUUGCAUUUUUAUCCCGGUUGGUGUUUCCAACCGGGACAAAAGGGUGCCGCCGUCGGUGCUAGGAUACUAACCGUUACAACCGGGACUAAAGGGGGGCCUUUAGUCCCGGUUGUAUAUACCAACAAAGAGUAAAGCUCCGCCCCAUUCCAGUUUUCAGCCUACCGUGGUGCACCCCCUUUUAUACCGGGCCAACUAUAAACCGGGACAAAAGGGGCUGCAUGGAAGGUGAGUUCUCUAAUAGUGUACGUAUUGGACAUUGUGCCUGGCAAGACCUACCUGAUACGAAUAAUUAACGCCGGGCUAUCCUCCGAGUUCUACCUAAAGAUAGCUGGGCACAAAUUCACUGUGGUUGGUGCCGAUGUCAACUACGUCAGCCCAUACACCAUGGAUGUGAUCGCCAUGGCGCCCGGUGAGACAGUGGAUCCCUUGGUUGUUGCUGAUGCGCUCCCUGGAAGGUACUAUAUGGUUGCCCUGCCCAAUCAGGCACCAUUGCGGGACACCCAGACCCCGGAAUACACAAUUAGAGGGAUCAUGCAAUACAGCAACAGUCACAGCUCUGCCGAUGAUCCAGCAGGACUGAUGUCAGAUCAUGUUGUGGAAGAGGAAGAAGAAGAUAAAGGUUCAUCCGGUGAUGUGCCAGUAGCACCUGAGAUGCCUGAUAUACAUGACACAAUUGCAUCUUACUACUUCCACAGCAACCUGACCAAGCUGCACCAAACGGAGGUCCCUCAGCGAGUUGAUGAACGUUUGUUCAUCGUGCUCAGCCUGGGUUCAAUAUGUCAGAAUGGCCAGUGCUGCAGCAGUUCUACAGGGCGAUUUCAACCCGAUGCAUCUACAUGGUCACAACAUGAUCCUUCUUGCACAGGGGUUUGGUAACUUCGACGCCGCGAAAGAUGUUGCAAAAUACAACUUGGUGAAUCCACCGGUGAAGAACACCAUUCUUGUCCCAAAUCAUGGGUGGGCUGCCAUCCGAUUUGUUGCGAACAAUCCAGGUGUGUGUAAGAUUUAUUUGCGUUAGUUGGGUUUCAAAGUCGACGCUGUCAGAUCUAAUGCUUGUCUUAUAUGAUUUAAGGGGUAUGGUUCAUGCAUUGCCACUAUGAAUUCCAUUUGACUAUGGACAUGGCGGAAGUAUUCAUUGUAGAGGAUGGUCCGACAGUGGACACAUCUCUCCCUCCACCACCUGCUCAUUUUCCAACAUAUUGUGGUCAUGACGACAAUCUCCUUCUGGGUGAACUGUGCCUCCAAACUAAGAAGAUGCAUGAAAUCCCACGCAUAAAUGUAGUCUGAAUAAAUAUUACUGCAACCGCCGGUUAUCAAAUUAAAUAAUGGAUGGCCCACGCUAGUACCUAGAUUCAAGUAUGCAUAUUAAAACUACUGUAUCGUCUUCACUCUAUCAAUAAUGUGAGGCCAAUUAUAGGACAAUCCCCUUUUAUAUCCAUAUAUGCAUAUCUUUCUUUUUUCUAUAUUCGAUUUUACAUCCUAGUGAAUUGCAAAUUUUAUCUAUAAUUGCAUAUACUCUCUCCGUCCCAAAUUGCAGAUCGUUUUGGCAUUUCUAGCUAGAUUCAUAUCUUUUAUUAAUAGCUUUUAUAAAUACAUGUACUUACAAAUUAGACCCGUGUUCAAGUGGAAGUGACUAGAGGAAUAAUGAAUCAUGUCGAAAGUCCCCCAAACACGAUUAAAAAUGUUCAGUCACCCUUCUGACGUACAGUCCAAAGUUCAAAGCACGGGAGCUGCAAACAAUUAUUUCACCACCGUUUUACACUUAAGCCAUAUAUAUCCUUCGUACAAAGACCAGGCGGAUUACACAUAAAGAGGUCCAACUAGCUAGCUUCUCAACAUGCGACUAGUAAACCUGAAGCAAGAUCGAAAUAAUAAUCAAGAAGCCAAGCAGUUUCAAUGUCUAUUUUGUUUUGUCUACAUACAUGUAGAACGUGGUAAACUAAAACUUAUACUAUAAUCUUUUAAGAAAACACCGUUGACCUAAAAAGGAAGACAUCUAACAUUAUUUUAUAAAAAAUAAACUAGUGAACAAAGAUAUUGCAAUAAGAAAGACAUUACCAAUACAUUAGCUGGUGUCUUCUACGUAUUAAGUAAUAGAGUGCAACUAGUCGUACGUGAAGUAUUUCCCCGAUACAAAGUAUGUUUAAAAAUGAAAAUUCCGGCCUACUAUCUUUCUCUCUUCCCAUAGUUAUCUCUAUGAAUCCUAAAAUUGUAACCUUUUAAUUAGAAUACUAACUUCAUGUAUCAGUAUUGAAAUUGAUGGCACAUAUAAUAGAUAUUGAUAAGUUUUUAUUAACAAUAUAAGAUAUCGAUCACGUUUGGAUGCCCCCCCCCCCAUCCACCCACUUAGAAUUUCUAGUUCCACUACUGGUUGGGUGAUACCAUAUGAUCUUUCCUAAAAGGUUCUAGAAAGGUAGUUUACCUAGGGUAUAUGCACUUCUUAGUGGAAGGACACCAGUACCGAAGUAAGCAGUUCCAUAAUUUUUUUGGCAGCAUGCCCGAAAUUGAUUCUGCUCCAAAAUUUUUUCACCAGGGCAGUGUCUUCAAGCAAGGCACUAAAAAAAUAGGUUUAAGUACUAUUUCAUGGAAACACUUGCGGAGCAGCAGCAGUCUGGGCUAGUAUUGAUGAACCAGCCACAUCAGUGGGCCACCUAGUGAGCUAGUAUUGGAAAUGGGUUACAAUGUCAAUUCUGUUAUUUGGAUGUAGAUGAAAUUGCUACAUGGAAUCAAAUAAGAUGGCAAAUACCAAUUCAUAUUUGGAUGUUUAAAUGGUGAAAUUGAGAGAGAGAGAGAGAGAAGGGGAGCGACGGGCGGCGCAGGCACCCGCCACAGGCCACCUCUGAGCCGCACUACGCGUGGACGGCCAUUGGCUGCAACUCUGCCUAGCUUGCGUUGGUUGCAAGGAAGAUCGGAGGGGGCGCUGCCGCGUGGAAGAUGGGAGAGGGCGCCGGGCACGAUGAAGAAGGAAGGGGGCACCGCGCAUGCGGAAGAUGAGGAGGGGGACCAGGGCAGAGGGGCGGACACUUGCGCUUUUCACACUUGCGCGGACAACAUUCUAGCAGUUUGAAGAUAGAAAGUGCAUUAUGGAUGGCAACGGGUACAAAUUACCCACGUGCCCACAGGUAAAAACCCAUUAGGGUGAGGAUACGAGUACCAUUUAGUAACUACGGGCAUGGGUGCGGGUUUGAUUUUGUGCCCAUGGGUAAAAAAUUUGCGGGUAUGAAAAUACCUUACCCAUGCCCGCAAACCCGCGAACCCGCUUGAGAUGUGGGCCUGCUACACAUGUAUAUAAUAUAAGGAUUUUCUAGGGUUCCCUUAUCCCUUGUCCUCCCCCAGGCCCCAGAGGCCAAGUCCCCUACAGAGCCGCAAUCCUAGCCUCCCACAGACCGCAUGCCCGCAGCGGUGCAGCCUCCCUCCAUGGCUCCGUCCCUCGACUUCCGCCGCCAGUUCCCUCCGGCCACCGUCUGCCCUCCAGCCGCCAGCCAUCCCUUCCCUUCCCGCCGGCAGCCACCUCCCCGCCACCAUUUUUCCAUCCGCCCUCGCUGCCCCCACCACCACCGCUCUGCUCGGUGCCCGCCCACCUCCCCGCCGCCACUCGGUCAGCCGCCUGCCGCCCACUCUGGCAGCCGGCACCCGCCGCCAGCCAUCCCUUCCCACCUAGCGCCUAUAUUCCCAUCGCCGCCCCAGCCCCUAGGUCAGUCACUUUCCUCUCACUUUUUCUUCAUUCUCUAUUCAGUAGAAUGAUAGAUCCAGGAACUACACUUCUGCCUUGCCAUUGAUUAAUGAUAGAUCUAGUGAAAUGUCAUGUCUAGUUGGUGAUUUUGUGAUUGUCUAGAAUGAAUGAACUAUUUUGUGACUGAAUGAAUGAUUUGGUGAUUUUGUUGAGUGGUUGUAGUGUUCAGUAGAUAAAAUGAAUGAAUGAUUUUGUGUGAAGCAUGCAACUAUAGCUAGUUCAUAACAACUCCAUGGAUUAAAUGUAUGCAUCUACCAAUUUGAAUUGCUAUUUUCCCUAUAUACGGUCUUUAUCACAUGGUUUUGUUUGUAUUGUAUCACCAAGCAUAACAUGGUUUUGUUUGUAUUGUACCAUGACUAUAGAUUGGAUUGGUGAUGGAGACUCCUCACAGCAGUGUCCAACCUGUGCAGGUCUCGCAAGCUUCCAUCCCUAUUGACGAAGCUCUCCCUGCUAAUCAGGUUAUCAACAUUAAUGAUGGAGUUGAUGAUCACGAGGACGAAGACGGGACUGCUGGUAUAACUUAUUUACAGGGUUCACAUAGGAAGCUCACAUCUACUGUAUGGAAGGAAUUCACACGAGUUUGUGAUGAUGAUGGAGUUUGGAAGGCAAAGUGUGACCACUGUGGCAAGAAGCUUUCAGCUACAACAAGAAAUGGUACUAACCAUCUACGUACUCAUCUGAAAAUCUAUAUCUAUAUGAAGAAGCCUGGUGAGAAAGUGCAAGCAAAUUUGAGGUUUGCAUCCACUAACAAAGGUGCAGUAGCUGUUGAAAAUUAUAUGUUUGAUCAAGAUGUAGCUAGGAAAGCACUUUACACAAUGAUUACACUGCAUGAGUACCCUCUGUCCAUUGUGGAUCAUCUUGGUUUUCAUCAAUUUGUUAGUGCUUUGCAACCCUUGUUCAAGAUAAGAACUAGAAGCACUAUUAGGAAGGGCAUCCUGAAUUGCUAUGAUGUGGAGAAAAGAAAAGCUAGGAUGUUUCUUCAGAAGCUCAGUUGUCAUGUAGCCAUUACAACUGACCUAUGGACUGCUGAUAAUCAGAAAAGAGGACAUAUGGCUGUCACUGGACAUUUUAUUGAUGACUCAUGGACCCUUAGAAGCUGCAUUUUGAGGUGAUUUCUUAUUGUCCUACUUCAAUUACUUGCUGUCCUAUUUGUGUUUUACUUCAAUUACUUGCAAGUCUUAUUUGUGUUUUACUUCAAUUACUUGCUAUCCAACUUAUUUUAAUUGUCUUUUCUAGGUUUGUAUAUGUGCCAUGCCCCAUAUUGCUGAAGUUAUUUGUGAUGCACUACUUAAAUGCCUCCAGAGUUGGGAUCUUGAUUGCAGGGUGUCCACUAUGACACUUGACAAUUGCAGUGUCAAUGACAGCAUGAUUGGUCUAAUGGAAUCAAGGCUUGGGGAGGAUAAUAUGUUGCUGGGUGGAAAGCACUUGCAUACCCGUUGCUAUGCACAAAUAUUGAACCUUAUUGUACAAGAUGGAUUGGAAGUGAUCAAGAAAUCUAUUGCAAGAAUCAGAGAGAGCAUUGCUUAUUGGAUUGCUACACCAAAGAGGUAUGAAAAAUUUGUGAAAGUAGCUCAACAAUAGAAGGUUGAAUUGAAGAAAAAACUGUGUCUUGAUUGCAAAACUAGGUGGAAUUCAACUUUUGUCAUGCUUAGCACUGCUAUACCUUAUAGGAAGGUUUUUGAUCAUUUGGACACUCUUGACCAACACUUUGUUUUCCAACCAAAUUAUGAUUGGAAAUUUGCAGCUAUUGUUUGUGAGAAAUUAGAAUUGUUCUAUCAGCUCACUGAAUUGUUUUCUGGAACAAAGUAUGUGACAGCUAAUAUCUUCUUUCCUAAAGUAUGUGAGAUCAAACUUAAAAUUAACUCUUGGAAAGAAGAUGAAAAUGAGAUCAUUAGAAACAUGUCCACUGCAAUGAUAGAGAAGUAUGAUAAGUAUUGGUAUGAUAUCCAAGGUCUCAUGGCUAUUGCUGUUAUUCUUGAUCCACGCCUUAAGAUGAUCAUGCUGCAAGCUUGCUAUAUGGCUCUUUUGGGUCAAGAAGAAGUUGAUAGAUUUUUUCAAAAGAGCUAUGAAUUGCUAACUCAAUUGAUGGAUGAGUACCAAGUGCAAGUUGAUCAAGAGGUUGUGGGUGCAUCAUCUUAUGGGGCUUCAAACUCUACUGUUAGUGCUGCUGCUGUUCUGUCCAUAUUCAAAACACUUGCUACCACUAAGAAGACCUCAAGUCUUGUUAAAGCAAAGAGUGAGUUAGAUCGGUACUUGGAUGAAGAUCCUCUUCCUCAUGAUGAGAAUGAGUAUUUUGAUGUCUUGGGUUGGUGGAAGGUGGCUGGAACUCACUUCCCUACUUUGAGGUUGAUUGCUCAUGAUAUUUUGGCAAUUCCCAUAACCACAGUAGUUUCUGAAUCCGCUUUUAGCACUAGUGGAGGGUUCUAAGUGAGCAUCACAGCCGUCUUACUCCACAAAUGUUGGAAGCUUUGAUGUGCAACCAAAGUUGGUUUGGUCACAAUCUUAAAGGUAAAGAAUUAUGCUUUUGAUUCCUACAGCUUGUCAAUGUUGUCAUCUCAUUCUAAUGAUCUUAUGGCAGUAGCUUACUAAUGUCGUCUUCUUAUUCCAAUGUGCAUUUGUAGGUCAAGAUGAUGGAAAGAUUGACACCUUUUGGUUCUACCUUGAAGACAUUGAAGAAGAAAUGAAGGAAGAACCUUGCAUCUCUAUCGUCGACUCUGAUUAAGCUUGAUGUUCAUUUGUAUCUGUUAUGUGAACAAUAUUUGUGUGAUUUGAGCCAUGUGUCUGUUGUUCUAGACUUGUCACUUAUGCUUGUUGAGCCAUAUUUAUUUGGCUUGUACUCUUAGUUGUGAACUUAAUAUGUGAACUUGUGCUGUUGUAUUGUGCAUUGGAUCUAUCUUCUGUGAUCUGGCUGGCGGGUAUGGGUGUGCCCGCGGGUGACAGGCGCGGGUUCAAGUUCGUACCCGUGAUGGGUCGCGAGCGCGGGUGCGGACACAGGGUUUGCCUCACGGGUGCGGGUUUGUAAACCCUCUGCCCGUGGGUAAUGUGCCCGUUGCCAUCUAUAAAGUGCAUUCUGCAGGAUAACAUGCUAGCCCGUUAAAAAUAAGUUCUACUCCCUCCGUCCCGCAAAGAGUGUUAGUUUAGAAAAUUUCAGAUACAUUAGUAGUGAUGAGAAAUAUUUAUGUUGCCCCUAAUAACUAAUGUUAAUUGUGAUUGAAAAUCGUACUGCCUGUUUAGUUUUAUGAAUCCUGAGUAAACUCGCGUGCAUUAAACCAGAGAAAUAACAUCAAUUGAUCAUUUGAUUGGCUCUACGCGCUUCCCCAUAUGUUUUUCUUUAUUGGUGUGAGUGUUGCUUAACUAGAUGAUGUUUACUAGGAGGUAAAAGGACACUCUUUGUGGAAUAAAUUUUGGAGUCUAAAUGGACACGGGACGGAUGGAGUAUGUAUCUACAGUACAUACAGAUCUCACAUGUCAAUACUAGCAAAAAGUUGUUGCCUCGAGUUGACCACUAUUAUUCGGUUCACACAUCUCAAGAACCGAUCACAUCUUUCAUUAAGUAAAGUCCACGGUGAUGCUCAUGCCUGCAGCUCUUGUUCAAACAAAUACCUAUGCCUAAACAAACAUCAUGUGGUAGCAGUAAAAGUCUAAUGGAGACUUUUUUUAAAUAAAGUCUAAUCAGAUCAUAUCAGAUACGAAAAUAAAAUCAGAUGUUGAUGUUGAUGGAUUUACUUCUCAAUGACAGUUGGAUGGGAGAAGAAAAGUUUAGUCCAAAAACUAAUGGUCGGAAAGCAUAAGGUACAAGGUGGGCUAGCCCUCACCCAACAAUACAAUCUCGUGGGUUGAGUUAGGCUAAUAUUAUUGUUGCUUGUGUACUCGGGUGGACCUAAUCCUCGUAUGGAGAGCUGGAGUUGAUUUGUUGUGUACUCUAAGGGCCCAGUUGGCACGUGGCUUUUCUCGGCUUGGGCUUCAACUGUUGUAGCAUUGGAAUGUUACUGCAGCACAUAGCUAUUUCUCUCCCUCGCAAUAAAAUAAAUUGGGAGCCGAUGAAGUCUGGUUUCUUUGUUUUCACCGGCUCCGUCUCCUCAUGCCAUUGUAGCAUCAAAAGAAGCCCUCCUAAACGUACGCCCUAACAGUUGUGUUAGUGGAACGGCAUCCAGCAAUGCACGAAUGCAGCACUUCUGCCAAAAACAUGAGCCUGCUGUCUGUCAGAUACACAUGUACACACCCAAAUAACCUAAUCGCUGAUAAUCUUUAGCAACAAGGGGUCAAACAAGGAAUUUAGUUACUUGUACACUUCUUCCAACGAACUUCAAUGUAGCCGUAAUUAAUUCGAUCGUAUUGGAAGUCAUAAACACAUAAUUAGCACUAUGCACUUAAGAUUAUGUUGUUUCUUUGACUUGGAACAAGUAGCUAGUGAACACUUGCGCGGACAACAUGCUAGCAUGCAGUUUGAAGACAGGAAGUGCAUUCUGCAGGACAGCAUGCUAGCCCGUUAAAAAUAUGUUCUACUCCUACAGUACAUACAGAUCUCACAUGUCAAUACUAGCAAAGUCGUUGCAUUGAGGGCAGUCCCAAUGGGACAUUGAUGAUAGUUUCUAUCCCUCUUAAUUAUCAUGUCAACUAAGCAAUUUGCUGAUGUGGCAGUAGAUUUAUUAUGGAGAGAGAGAAACCAUUUCUUAGAGAGGAAACCAAGUCCUCACGCGCACCAAUGAGCUAAGAAACCAGCGAUUCUGCAUUGGGGACCCAAGUAGUUUCUUCUUAAUUACUGCAGGAUCCUUUGCGCUUGCACCGCUGCUACCCAUCACUCGAGCUCCUUUACAUGAUGCACAGAGGAUCUGGUACUAGAAGGGAGAAUGAUUGGUUGGAUUUUUAUUUAGACUCUAGAUAAAAAAGUUGCAUUGUGAAGGAUGAUUUCUUGAUACAAUAUCCUAGACUAUGGAAACUAGGUUGGUUUCUCCCAUUGGACUGCCCUAACUUGAUCACUAUUAUUCAGUUCACACUUCUCAAGAACCGAUCACAUCUUUCAUUAAGUAAAGUCCACGGGCCACGGCGAUGCUCAUGCCUGCAGCUCUUGUUCAAACAAAUACCUAUGCCUAAACAAACAUCAUGUGGUAGCAGUAAAAGUUUAAUGGAGACUUUUUUUUUGAAAUAAGUCCUAAUCAGAUCAUAUCAGAUACGAAAAUAGAAUAUACCACGAGGCAAUCGAGGUAACAAAAAGAAGGAGAAAGUUGGUGAGAUACAACGAGAGGAUUACAGGUUGGUAGGCUGACACCCAAUUAAUGGUGCGUUCUUGGAAAAACGCAUCCACUGUCAGGCUACUUACUCUAGCGGUAGCAGUACCCUUAGUUGCGUGUUAGCUGUUAGCUCAAAGUUGAUGUGAAUCCUAUGUAUAAGAUAGCUUAGGAUCUGUUUGGAUACACACUCAUAAUCUUUAGGACUUCACUUUUAGUCCACUUUUAGGACUUGUGCAUUCAAACAUAUGUCAUAAAAGUGCAUUCAUAAUAUUUAGGGUCUGUUUGGAUACACCCUCAUAAACUUUAGGACACUCAUAAAGUUUAGGAGCUAGAAAUUGGUAGUCCUAGAAUUUAUGAGUGGGCUGUUUGGAUGGAAUCAUAAUCUUUAGGAUGUUGGAGGGGAAAUGACUUUUGUACCCCUAAUUACUCCACCCCUGCUCUGUUUCUAGCGCCGUGGAGAGAGAAGGGGAGGGGCAACAGGGGUAAAGGAUGGGUUGGGGACCACUUUUAGGAGAGAAAUGACCCAUUAUGAUGGUUUGGUCCUCCUAAUGAAAACAACACUCCUAAACAUUAUGAAUGCACUUUUAUGACAUAUGUUUGGAUGCACAAGUCCUAAAAGUGGACUAAAAGUGAAGUCCCUCACUACCCACGCUUUUGUANNNNNNNNNNNNNNNNNNNNNNNNNNNNNNNNNNNNNNNNNNNNNNNNNNNNNNNNNNNNNNNNNNNNNNNNNNNNNNNNNNNNNNNNNNNNNNNNNNNNNNNNNNNNNNNNNNNNNNNNNNNNNNNNNNNNNNNNNNNNNNNNNNNNNNNNNNNNNNNNNNNNNNNNNNNNNNNNNNNNNNNNNNNNNNNNNNNNNNNNNNNNNNNNNNNNNNNNNNNNNNNNNNNNNNNNNNNNNNNNNNNNNNNNNNNNNNNNNNNNNNNNNNNNNNNNNNNNNNNNNNNNNNNNNNNNNNNNNNNNNNNNNNNNNNNNNNNNNNNNNNNNNNNNNNNNNNNNNNNNNNNNNNNNNNNNNNNNNNNNNNNNNNNNNNNNNNNNNNNNNNNNNNNNNNNNNNNNNNNNNNNNNNNNNNNNNNNNNNNNNNNNNNNNNNNNNNNNNNNNNNNNNNNNNNNNNNNNNNNNNNNNNNNNNNNUGAUGUACUGAUCGACUAUGAUAUUAGUGAUCGUCCUAACUAAUCAAAGUACUGCGUACUGAGAGACUGAUCCACUCGUAGCGUGUCGGUGGACGUUGAUUUCGAAGCCUUCCAUUGCCUCAACGCGCUCCACCGGCUUAUUCUAUAGACUGUCGUAUGGGCAAGAGCACUCGAUGGUUGACUUGACUCUCUCCAUCAUGCAUGUAUAUAUCAGAUCAAUCUAAACAGCCCACUCAUAAAUUUUAGGACUACCAAUUUCUAGCUCCUAAACUUUAUGAGUGUCCUAAAGUUUAUGAGGGUGUAUCCAAACAGGCCCUUAGAAGGUUGUGCUGUGAAAGAAAAUUACAUCAAAAACUGAGCGAGACUAGCUCUUCACUCCACGCUUGUCUCGUACAUUUUGCACUGUUCAGCUACCUCUGAACUGAAUCAUUGGAGACGCUCCUACGAUGAUACAGGCAGUAUGUUCGUUUGUGAGCUUCCUUGGUCAUGUUGUUCAAUUCUGCUGGGUGUCCACCGUGUGUUGAUUGAUCACUUUCAUGUGUGAAGUGACUCGAACAAAAAAUCGAUCACUUGCACUUUGUGUUGAUCGAUCACUUUCCGAUGUUUCGCCGGACUAGAAGGCCAGCCCCUCCGCAGGCCAGGCGCAAUGCAAGGGAGAGGAAUUCCUUCAUCUGCUCUCCGUGGACUGAACCAUAAAUUAAUUAGCAAAGGAACAUUUUACUAUAAUACCCUUGCUUAACGUAAUUACUGUGGAGGGAACCUGAGGUUUUCCUUCCAAGCACAGUAAGUAGGCUAAUUAUCAUACAUUUUCCCAGCACAAUUUCACAGUAUUUCGCACAUGCAUGUGUAGUUUUGUAGGAGUUGGCCCCAGGCCUUGCGUGUAGCAUCCUUUUGGCAUCCCUCAACCUUAAUAAGACACCGUUUGCUGGUGGCAAGGCAGCUCUUUUUCAAUUCAUAAUCUUGUUGUCUAAAUUUUUUUACAACUGUUUGGGCAUCUAUACAAUUUAAGUAAAUAAAUCAACUGGAAACUUGUACAUCUCAUAAAAAGAUCGUCUCUAUGGGGCUCCUUUCCAAGAAAGUCAUGAAUUUUUUAAACAAACCGACAUUCAAAUGUGCCAGUCUGUAAAGCUAUUGAUAAAAUAAAGUAUUAAAUUGAGUUUUAAUAUUAGAUAACAUGACUAAUCAGUAUUUGGCCAUUAUCAAUGCUCAGUUAGCUAAAAUAUUUGGCCUACCAAUCAGAUAAGGUUAGACAUUGGAGGUUGGAAAACAUUCGUCCAGCAGAGAACUGAACGAUAUUUAAUACAGUUUUGGACAGAAUGUUUUUUCUGAAAUUUUGUAAAAGUUCCGAACUGGACUAAAAUUUGACAUAACAUUUUGUUCGACCAGACGAGAACAUGUAUGUUCAAUGUGCACUAGGGUCCACUGAGUUAAAGCUUGGCCCCUAGCUGAGCGUAGGGUGGUACCGUGAGAACCUCAAGGGACAUAAGCAUCUAAUCUAAGAGUUUUUAAGCAUUGAACAUAUGUCUUUUUUUUAGAAACCAUAGGAGAUCAUAUGGUUAUUUCCAUGUGGUUUAAUCGGUGAUCAACUGCAGUCCCUAGAGACCUAGAGAUGACAUUAGCUUCGACCGUUAUAUAUAUAUAUAUAUAUAUAUAUAUAUAUAUAUAUAUAUAUAUAUAUAUAUAUAUAUAUAUAUAUAUAUAUAUAUAAAGGGUAAAGGAAAAAGAAGAGGUUGUUAUAAGUGAAGAAGAUCAAUGGGAGAUCAAUAAUAAAAUUUUAUUAGAAAGUUAUGAAGAAGAGGAUGAAGAUAUGCCCCACAUAUAUAUAUAUAUAUAUAUGGACUUCUUUUUGAGGAGUCUUUUAGAAGUUUUUCAGAAAAUUGGAUACGAUUCUCCUAGAAAACAGAAUUCCAAAACACGUUUUACACGUAUAUAUCAUGACGGCAUGCAAUUUAUAUCCAUUUUUUGAGGUUCAAGACAGCAAGUGCUAAGCGACGUAGUUGGCUUUCUCCUCCUGCAUGGCCUCCGCGAGUUUGGACCACUUUGUGCGGACGGUGACCACCAGCAAUGAGCAGGCCUGGCAUGUCAGCCCACAUAUCAGCCCCACCCACAAACCCUGCAGAAAAAAGAAUAUACAACAACAAUACAGCAAUUAAGCUGGAAAUUUGGACAGUUUCGGACAAUACAGCAAUUCAUCCAGCAGAAAACUUAUCGAUUUAAUACAGUUUUGGACAGAAAUCAUUUUUGCUGAAAUUUGGUAAAAAUUCCAAACUACACAAAAAUUGACACAACAUGUUGUUCGACCAGACGAGAACAUGUAUGUUCAAUGUGCACUAGGGUCCACUGAGUUAAAGCUUUGCCCGUAGCUGAGUACAGGGUGGUACCGUAAGACCAGUCUAAGUGCACAGUUUCAUUGUCCAGUUAUCAAGAUAGAGAACGAGGUAACUGUGUCAGCUGAGUGUUAUGGAGAUGAAACUCCUCUCUCAUCUGAUGAAACUUCUCCUCUUAAUUACCUUGGCAAGUUAGCAAUUUUGCUGAUGUGUCAUUAAAUCUAAUACCAUGAAACUCCUAUGAAACCCUCCAUUAAGACUGGUCUAAGAACCUCGAGGAACAUAAGCAUUUAAGAGUUUUUAAGCCUUGGACAUACUUUGUUUUGUUAGAAACCAUAGGAGAGGUCUGAUGGUUCUAGCCACGUGGUUUAAUCGGUGAUCAACUGCAGUCACCGGAGAUGACAUUAGCUCCUUUUUGAGGUGGAUGGUCAGAAGCUUCUUUUUGAGGAGUCUUUUAGAAUUUUUUUCAGAAGACGGGUUACUGUCACACCUGGUUUUAAAAUAAAACCAACUACUACCUAUAUGUCACACCUGGUUUUAAAAUAAAACCAACUACUACCUAUAUGUAUUUCAGAAUCUAGUUUCAUACAUAUAGUGACAUCAUAAGUGAAUAACAGUCCAGUAUCAAGUAAAUGAAUAUAAAUAAUGACUUACGGGUCUAUCAGAGAUAUACAGCUUAAUCUGAGAAACAGAGGCUCCAAACUUCACAGACAAUCUACUGGGGGUUGCGUACGCUUAGAAUUCAGCAUCAUCUUAAGAAAACUUCACACACCCUUCCUCUUCUGAGUAGCAGUAAGUAAGCGUGAGUACACUUAUGGUUGGUACUCAGUAAGGCCACAAGAAAUAGCCAGAAUAACAAUUUAAAUCCAUCUUCAAGUUUAUUAAUCAUGUGAGGGUCCAGGCCGCUCUUGACCAUGAGCACAGCUGUUAUAACAAUUUUACACUCUGCAAAGAUUGUACACUUUCACCACAAGUCGCGUAAAAGUUUAGAAGAACUUUGGAACCAACGAUGCUAUGCAAAAGUAGGCACUUAUCACACUACCGAGGUGUGACUGUAUAGGGAUGCUACGAGACCUUUACAAAGAUUUCCUAGUAAGGAUAACUCGCUAAGGUUUCAUGAUCAACGCAAUGCAUAAACCUCUCGCAAACUGCAAAGCUACCAUAGAGCAGAUCAGUUUGAGGGCCGAGCUAUAUACCAACUAUUGUCUCCCCCUUUUGCUCCUUUCAGGCAAAGCUACCACAAACUAGAGUUUCUAAUUAAUUUUCUAAGACCAAAGCCAUGUGAUUCUUAUCGUUGCACUGUUUUCCUGGGUGGUUCUCCAAUUAUGACAUGGUGGUCUUGUAAAUAAGCAUAGAUACAAGGAUAGCUAAGGACACUUGCCUUUCUCCAACGAAAAGUUACUCUUACUGCUCUUCAGCUCUUGCUCUCUUGAAACUCUUAAUCUUCAAAUCUUUUGAACAACAAUCCUUCUACUUGAAGCAAUCAUCAGGUCCCAACAUACAAAGCAAACAAACAAGUAUAAUUAAGAACAAUACACCAAUCAAAGAGAAAAGCUUUAACAGAGUGUACUAAAGAAUAGGGCUUGAUUCUACAAUAAGGAAGGCACAUAAAACACUAAGAAUAAUGAUACCGUUGAAAUAUACAUCUACCGAGAAACUUUUUGUACAGAAAAAGACAAGAGCUAUAUGCUGAAGUUAUUUUAACUAGAAAUCAUAUUUUAACUAUAAAAUAUCCUAAGUUAGAGUUGAUUCAAAUUAUAUUUUUAUCUGAAAAGAUGAUGUAAAACCUAGUAAACUUUUAUUUAUAAAUAUUCAUGUACAAAUUAUGCCAUUUAAACAUUUAACUUUGGAAAAAUAAACUAUAUGUAAUAAUAUCUAAUCAAUAACUUUAUAUGUCGCAUUGAAUAAAACAAGUUAUAAUUAGAAACUCAUUCACGUUGAUGUUAAUCAUAUUAACACUUGCUUAAAGAAAACCGUUGUAUAAACCUAAUUAGCUUUUAAUUAGAAAAAGCUAAGUAAAUAAGCAUUAAUUAAAAUUAAUACCAUACUUAUUUUCAAAAACACGAAACAUGGCGAAACAAUGUUGCUAAACUAUAGCUUAUGAUUAGAAGAGUAACACAGCAAGAACCGACUAGAAUGAAACUUUGGUCGAGAAGAUACAUUAUCAAAAGAUUUGGGUUCAUAAAAGAAAAGAAACUAUGUGCUUCAUACAUUUUAAAUGUAGAAAUCAAUGUGGAUGAUAUUUUAGAGAAAUAUCCUAUGUUAGAAUUAACUCACAUUAUAUUUAUAUUUUGAAAACAUGAAGUAAAGCUUAGUCAAAAUUUAGUUACAAAUGUCCAUGUAUAGUUUAUACUACUUUAAACAUUUAAUUUGGAAAAGAUAUCACAUGUGGGAACAUCUAAGCGCAUAACUUUAUGAUUCAUGUUGAACUAACUAAAUUAUAAUUUAAAAAUACAUUUAUAUUUAUAUUAUCCAAAUUAACAUUUAAUUAUGAAAACUCGAGAUAUAACCUAUGUAGCUUUUAUUUAUAAAACAAAUUGAGUUUAAUUUAUAAAAAUCUGAGGUAUAUCUCUAAUUAGCUUUUAAUUGAAAAACAUUUAAGAUGAAGCAUUAAUAAAAUUAACAUUUAUUAUGCAAAGCGGUGUAUAACACUAAAUACCUUUUAUUAAAGACAACAUAUUUAAUAGGUGUUAACCAAAUUAAUAUCAAAUUUAUUUUCAAAAAUAUGCAAUGAUGGAAAACAUCACCAUUGACGUGUAAUUUAUGUUGUUAUGAAUCUAACGCAACUUGAAUGGAUAGAAACGGAGCUAAAACUUGUAAUUUAUGGAUUAAACAAGGUUCUAAGGACCUAAAUAGAAUUAACUGUAGAUACCAGGGGCUAGCAGAGAAGAUUUGCAAGAUAGAGCAAACAGUGCUUGUAAAGAGGAAAAAGGUUAGGACUAUAUCUAUAAAAACUCUCAGGUAGGACUAGGGUGUAGAGAUUUUAAGGUCUUCAGGGGUUUGUCUACAAAAAAACCAAGACACAGGGAACCUUGGACUAUUUACAGAUUUCGUUAGGGGCUUCAUCGCAAAGAGCUCGAGAGGGCUUUUGGCCGGCCAAAUCGCUGGCGCUACGGGCAAUUUGGAGCUCGGCCAAGGCAGGGAAGAUGAAGAGGAGGUCGAGAGGAACUUGUAGGGUAGCUCAUCGUCGGCGGAGAGUCACGGCAUUGCCAGGAAUCUGGCGGCAGAUAGAGGAUGGCGGCCGGCUCGGGCCAUCAUGGGCGGCGAUGUUCCAGCGGUGGGAAGGUGAUGAGAACGAGCGGCAGAUGUGCAGCAUGAGGAAGGGAAGCACGAGGCGAUGUCAGCUUGCUCUAGGGAUGUCGGGAGGCGUCAAAUCGAAGCGGUGGCGGUGCUAUGCUCCUCCUACUCCAGGCGGCAACGCUCGCCCCGUUUGCUCGGAUUGCGGUGGCACUGGGCGAGGCAGCAAGGCAGUGGCAAUGCAUGCACGGCAGGGGCAUGCGGGGGUCAGGUGCUACGUUUUAUAGGGACGCGGGGCGGCCACGGCUUAGCGCGCAUGCCAAGGCUGGCCAGCGACAGCGGCAGCAUGCUGCGCUGUGGCCGUUGGCCCAGAUGGGCCUCGACUACAUCAUCCAUGUAGGCUUCUACGUUGAAGUGUAGUUGCGAUGAGAUCCUUUGGAUUUCUUGUUUUGACGACUACAUCAUCCACGUAGGCUUCUACGUUGUGCUGUAGUUGCUUCUCAAAACACAUCUGGAUUGCGCGUUGAUAUGUUUUACCUGUGUUCUUCAACCCGAAGGACAUUGUCUUGUAACAGAAAGCUCCAAACGGGGUGAUGAAGGCAGUUUUGGCUUGGUCUUCUUCCUUGAUUGCUAUCUGAUGGUAACCUGAGUAGCAAUCGAGGAAACAGAGUAGUGCACAACUAGCUGUGGAGUCGACGACUUGGUCGAUCCUGGGUAACCCGAAGGGGUGUUUGGGGCAGUGCUUAUUGAGGUCUGUGUAGUCUACACACAUCCUCCACUCAUUGUUGUUUUUCUUACGAACGAGUACUGGGUUGGCUAGCCAAUUAGGGUGGAAAACUUCCUUGAUGAAGCCAACUACGAGUAGUUUGGCUAGUUCUUUCUUGAUAGCGUCUCUCCUGUCUUGAGUAAAUCUUCGUAUCCGUUGCCAUUUAGGAGUAGGUUUGGGAUCAACAUUUAGUGAGUGCUCGAUCAGUUCCUUGGGCACACCUGGCAUAUCAGCCAAUUUCCAAGCAAAGAUGUCUCAGUUAGCCUGAAGGAAACUGAUGAGCGCGCUUUCCAAUUGGGGAUCCAGCCCUAUGCUAAUGAGGGUUGUCUUGGAUGAAUCACCAAUCUCUAGGUCAAUGGGCUUGGAAUCCUUGUUUGUUGCUAGCUUGACCUUGGCCACCCCCGCCUUGUUCUCUGGAAUCUCGAGUUCUGUUGGGGUGAGUUUUUUCGAGACUGUGAAGACUUGUUGCAUGGGACUAGGUGCUUGAGAAGUCGCAGCGAUUUCGAUGGCUUCUGCGUCGCACUCAUAGGAUCGCCUCAGGUCUCCACAUAGUGUGAGUUCACCUUUUGGUCCUGGCAUCUUGAGCAGUAGGUAUGCGUAGUGUGUUAUAGCCAUGAAUUUAGCUAGAGCUGGUCUUCCGAGGAUGGCGUGGUAAGAAGUCUCGAAGUCAGCGACCUUGAACUUAAUGUACUCGGUGCGAUAAUGUUCCUUUGUACCGAAGGUGACAGGUAAGACGACUUGCCCUAAUGGGAUAGCGGCGUUGCCUGGAACAAUUCCGUAGAAAGGAGAAUCUAUUGGAGUAAGCAUAUCAGUUAUGUCGAGGCACAUUUUCCUCGAGGUUUUGGCGAAGAUGACGUUGAGUCCACUACUAGCAUCGAUGAGUACUUUUGUUAGUCUUAAGCCUGCGAUAACUGGGUCGAGUACCAAGGGAAAAGGCCUGGCUCUGAGAAGUUGGUCCAUUGAUCCUUUCUGCUGAAAGAAAUUGGCACCUCGGACCACUUGAGUGGGGUGGGAGUCGCUGGCUCGAUGGCCAUGAUCUCUCUGAGCACUAGCAUGUUGGACCACUUCAAUGUGGUACCUGGGAUUCCGCCAAAGAUGACGUUGACAUUUUUUGAUGCGACUUAAAAUUUGUCUUCGCCAUCAUCGGUUUCGUCCACCUUGCCUUUGCCUUUGUCUCUGGAGUUUGCGGUCAAGUUUUUUUUAUUAUUUUUGGGCGGAGGAGCUUUGGGUAGUUCUUGCAUUACUCUACGGAGGCUCUAGUAGUCUAUUGCGGAGUGGUUACUGUGUGGAUGCCAUGGGCAUUGCUUCUUGAGUAAGUCGCUGAAUGAGGGGCUGUCAUUGUGUUUGUUUGCCCCUUUUUUGUUUGAGUUGGUAAGUGUUGCAACGGUGUUGUCGGGUUUGCGCUUGUGAUUCUAGUGACCCGAGGUAAUUGUUUCAGGUAUCAUUGUUGCGAUUUCUGUCUAGGUUUUGGUUGUUACCUUGGCUGUUGUUGUUGUUGCCCCCACGGUUGCGAUCAAACCUCUCACGUUCUUUGUCCUCCUCGUCUGCCCACUGCUGUACCAUGAUCUUCAAGUCUUUGACACUCGUAGGACAGUGUCUGCCAAAAUCUUGGUACAUGCGUUGGUCCUAGAGUCCAUUUUGAAAACAUUCAAUCACGUCUCCCUCUGAGAUGUCGACAAUCGUAGCCUUCUUCUCGAAGAAAUGACGUAGGUAGUCGCGCAACAAUUCGCCUUCCUGUUGUUUGACUUGGCUUAAGUCAACUUUGUUGCCUGGAUGUUGCAUUGAUCCCGUAUAGUUGUUGGUGAAAGCUGUUUUCAAUUCUUCCCACGAGUCGAUUGACUUGGGCUUGAGAGACUCGAGCCAAGUCAAUGGCGCGGGUUCCAUCCAUAUGGGAAAGUAGAUGACUUUUGUCUCGUUGUUACCCCCAGCUAUUUGGACUGCUAAUGAGUAGCAUCGGAGCCAUUGGACCGGGUCUUGUUUGCCAUCGUACUUGUUGAUUCCCAUUGGUUUGAACUUGUCGGGUAAUUUAGUAUGCAUGACUCGUGUGGUGAAGGUGGGGAAGUAGUCGGGAACAUCGGUUUCUGCUUCUCAUUCACAAUGACGGUUUCUGAUUAUGUCCCGAUCAUCGUGAUUCUGGUUGAGUACUUCCCUGAGAUCACUCAUGUAUGAAUGUUCCCGAUUGGUUCUAUGGCGAUGAGGACUUUGUGCGGAGUUGGUGUGACUAGCUUCUCCCGCACCUUUGUUUUUCUGUGGUGCUUUGGGUGCACCGCCACGUCUUGGAGCAUCUCUGCUACCAUUGUGCUGGCUAGAGUUGUGGUGUACAGAAGGGAUUGGUGACUCCUUGUCGAGCAACUGGUAAGCAUUUGCCACGAGUUGUGCUAUUAACUUGUUGCCUCUUCAUGUGAGUUGUACCGCGAGCUUGUUGUCUAUGUCCUGAGGUAUGAGGGUUGUUAAGAGAUUGAUCGAGGUGAUUGCUGUGAGUGGGGUGUUGUGCUCUCGUGCUUGUACUGCAUCGAAUGCUCGCUCGAGAUUCACAAUAGGUAUGCUUGCGAAAAGUAGUCGGCGACGUUCUACUCGAGUAGCGUUGCGAUUUCUUCUUUGAAUUCAUUGCUCACUUGUUGCAUCAUCCGGGGCAUUGGCUGAGAGCUCAUCAUCAGAGACUUCUUCAUGUUGUCCUACCCGUCGAGGUGUUCUGUGGUGCUCGUUAGUCGAGGUGUUUUGUGGUGAUGGUUACUAGUCGCGACUUCGUCGUGUGGUGACAUGACAACAAAGAGUUCCCUAUCUGAAUAGUAGCAUCCUAAGCUUGAGGUUGCAAUCUCUGUGGCGCUAUCUUCUCCUCGGAUUGGAGUAAGUGGAGUGCCCUGUUUAUAUGGGAGGGUACCCAUGUGGGCGACUAGGCAUGACUCGUAGUUUUGGGUAAGGGAUGAUGGCUUCAUCCCUGGCCAAUAAACGAAUUUGCCUUGCGAUGUGGAUGUGAUAACCAAACCUUGUGCUGGGUCUGAUGAAGGGUGUUCUUGAACGGAGUCCGAGUUGUAGUCGUAGUCCUCAACUGUUUCUUGUCCUGAUUGGACUCGAGUGAGGAGUUCUUGGUGGACCCUGGCUGCGUUUCGGAACCCGAACGGGAAUCAACUUCGAUUUGAAAUCGACUUGCAAGGUGACUUGGAUACUAACCUGCGUGGGCUAGUCCGAGUCGAGGUCGAGUCCAAGCUGUAGUCGAACUCGAUGCUGUUGACGUUGAAAUUUUGGAUUCUCUCAAUGGAAUUUUCCACUUCUUGAUGAAGAGGGUUUUCGUUCAGAUGCUUCUUCUCCAGCUUCUCGAUGAUGCAACGUUGGAAAUUUCCAAAGCCAUCAACGAUGCAGAGCAAGGAGCCGAAGAUGAAAGUUGCGCCCACCUCGAAAGCAAAUGCAGGUUUGAUGAUGGUUGGUGCCAUCGAUCUCGCGCGGAGAAAUUCGGCGACUCCCCCUACCUGGCAUGCCAGCUGUCGGUGUUUUAUACCGGUAACCCGCCUAGGGAGUACCUGAGGUGGUGUUUCGUGCGGUGGGUGUCGCCGAGAAUCAAGGAGUCGAUGGUGACACAGGAACACGAUUUACACAGGUUCAGGCCGCUAGAUCGCGUAAUACCCUACAUCCUGUGUAUGGAUUGUAUUGAUGAGUUGUGUUGCUUGCAGGGGUUCCUUGCCCACCCUUAUAUAGUCGGGGGAGCAUGGUUACAGGGUAGGAGUCCUAGUCGAACACGGUCACAGAGUCCUACUCGGUGAAGUAGUUUCCUUGUGUAUUCCGACUAGUCUUCAGGAGUCCGUGUAGGCUACGUUACCCUGCAGCGCAGCCUCAUGUCCUAAUCACGUCCAAGUACGCCCCUUGAGUGGGCUAUACAAGGCCUACUCGUGGACCCAAGGAUGUAUGCCCGACAGGGCUAGCUGGGUCGAGCCCAAGGCUCGGCCCAGAGGGAAAGGAUUUGGCUCUAGAAAAAAAUAAGAAUAAAUUAUAGAAAAAGCUGGAAAAUUUUCUCAGAAGGGUCUGGACAUCAUAUAAACGCAUAUUAAAACCUUUUGCACUCAAAAAAUACUAAGAUGCAUUGGUCUGAAUACAACACACAGAGCAACACUAUUUAAUUUAAAAAACAACCAAUUAUUUUUCCUAUACUACAUUUCCUGUCAAGAAAAUAAAUGUUGGGAAAAUUUUAAAAUUAUGAUAAAAUCAUUGUUUAAUUGUUCUUUCUAAUCACAUCCUGAAAUCCAAAAAUUUCAGGGCGUGAUAGAUACGAUUCUCCUGCAAAACAGAAUUCCAAGACACGUUUAAUUUUAUAUUUAUAUAUCGUCACGGCAUGCAAUUUCUAUCCAUUUUUUGUUUGGUCAAGAUAGCAUGUGCUAAGCGACGUAGUUGGCUUUCUCCUCCUGCAUGGCCUCCGCUAGUUUGGUCCACUUUGUGCGGACAGUGAUCACCAGCAAUGAGCAGGCCUGGCAUGUCAGCCCACAUAUCAGCCCCACCCACAAACCCUGCAGAAAAAGAAUGUAAAUGCAGCAAUUAAGCUGGAACGUUGUCGUUGGCAAGAAAUUGAUUCACUUUAAUUUUUAAUUUUUACAAGUACCUUGGUGUGGAACUUGAAUUUGAAGGAGAAAAGGAUGGCCAGCGGCAUUCCGAUUAAGUAGAACGCCACAAGGUUGGUCAUGGCCCCCAUGUGCUGCCACCCACAGCCCCUCGACACGCCUGACAGGACGCCCUGUGCAGCGUCGAGCACAAUGGAGAUCAUCAUGAGCGGGGUGAUGGCCGCGAAUUCCGAGAUGAUCCUCGAGCUCCUACUGAAGAGGCUGGCCCAUAGGUUGUGGCCGAACGCCAGCAACAGGACGAAGGAGACGGCGAGGAACACUGAGAGCUUCAACGUCACGGAUACCGCAUUCUUCGCCUUGUCCACAUUCCCCGCACCGAUCUCGUUCGACACCCGUGUGCUGCACCAAACAUUAAUCCAUGACCCAUCAUGCGUGAAAUAAACACAAUGGUACAAGAACAACUGUGGCUGAGAAGGAAGAAGCAUAUGGAAUUCGUUCAGACAGAACCGGGCUGGCAUGUGAUGUAACGCACCUUACGGUGGCACUGAACCCAACUGUGAUCAUGCACGCAAUCGCCUCAGUGCUAACGCUGCACACAAUUUGCAGGCCAUGUACGUCAUCGUUGGGCUCACGUUGUUAGUUUAAUUUGCAUAUCUGAAGAUCAAAUAAAGACUAUCGUAAUAUAAAGGUAUUUACCAUAUGGCGAUCAGCGGCGUAGCCACGGUGGGAUGGGGAAGUAAACCAGCUAUGAGCACCAGGAGCUCGAACGCCCAUAACUCCAAGCUGCAGCCGGAAUGUCUCACCGGUCAUGAUUCAUGAAUGUCACUGGCACGAGGAACACGAUACUGUAUGUCACUGGCAAGAUGUACACUUACCAGACCAUGAUGGCAGAUGGCGUUGCGAGCUUCACGGUAGGCAACACGUACAUGAAGGCGUCGGCAGAAAACCCUCUCCAUGUUUCACAGAACUCCUUGGAGAUCAGCACAUAGGCGAACAGCAUCAGGCAGCAGACCCAAAACGUUGCUGAGACCGCCGCGGAAGCGCCCGCGAGCCCCAGGCCAAACACGUUCACCAGCAGGUGCGCCAGGGCGACAUGCAGGACGAACGGCACCACGGAGCAGACGACGAGCGGUAGUACCACGGACUGCGUCUGAAGGUAUCGGAGCAGGCAAUGCACGAAGGAAAACGCAAAGAGACCGGGUAUCUGGGCCUGCACAAAAAUCCCAGCAGCGUGGGACACUUCGGGGUCCUGCCGGAGGAGAAGCAGCAGCGGCUCCGUGAAGUACCAAAGCACGGAGAUAAGCAGGGAUGCGGCAGCAGACAUGAUGAACGACGACUGCAGGUACAGGCCCAGCAUGCGGUACAGCCGGGCGCCGUACGCCUUCCCACAAAGCGUCUCCAGGGCUCCGCUCAGGCCCAUCUGGAAAAUAGCAACGGUCACAUCAUUUCGAUCAAAAUAUAUGAUUUGUUUGUUGAUUCUACAAAAUUUCAUAGUGAUAUUUUAACACCAUUACAAGUACAUGUUUUCUUCAUUUUCUUGAUUUCUGAAAACCAUUUAUCAGUAUAUAUAUGAUUUUUUUCUACCAAAUUUGUGGUCGUAAUUAAUUAAACAUGUGAGUUUUUCUAUUUAGAAUUGUUUAGAGAGAGGAUGAGAGAGAGAAUAAAGGAUUGACAUAAUUAUGUUAGGUUUAAUGCUACUAGAAAUAUAUAUUAUUUGUUUUCAUAUGAAGGUUGUGCUUGCCUUCUCAAGAAAUAGCAUGUAGUGUGUGUGCGCUAAUAACUAUUUUUUUCAUAUAUCCUAAAGAUGAAGAAAACCGCGACGCGAAAGUGCAUUAGCGAUGGAUGCUUGCCAAUCUCUUCAUAUAACUGGGCGUAGUAAGCAUGUCUAGUGAUGAAUAUAUGUAAGACAUAUANNNNNNNNNNNNNNNNNNNNNNNNNNNNNNNNNNNNNNNNNNNNNNNNNNNNNNNNNNNNNNNNNNNNNNNNNNNNNNNNNNNNNNNNNNNNNNNNNNNNUGUCCCCAAGGCACACCUCCAUUCCUACGGGCCCAUAUAUAUUAUAUAUUCGUGUUUGCGUUUGUUAUGUAAUGAGAUGGGAAAUAUAAAUUUAUAAAUUGGCAACAAAUAACUAUAUAAAAAUGGGUAGAACCAUUUGAAUAUUCAAAAUAGUGCGUCUAUUCAAAAUAGUACAAAUUGAUUUGUGCAGCGGUUGGCUUAACAGAGUAGCGACACUUAUAGAGAGACACUUAUUCGUAUCAAUUUUGGCUUAACAGAGUAGCGACACUUGUAGAGAGACACUUAUUCGUAUCAGCUCAUUAGUGCUAGCCAUAAAAAAGCCGGCACGAAUAAGUUAUUCGUGCUGGUGUCUAAUAGAGCCUUAAUGGAUAAUCCACUAUCCGUGGAGCCGGCACGGAUAAUUCUUAUUUGUGAUGCACGGAUAGUCAUCUGGAUUAUUCGUUCCGGCUCGGGUAUGGACUUCAAAAAAUUCAAACUUUUACAUAUGGACUCAGAUUGCGACAAGCUUUAUAUGGAAGUGGUAUGUUUCAACAAGAUUUAAAACUUUGUAGUUUAACGAUUUUUAAUUUGAAAUCAUUUAGAUGCCCAAAGUUAUAACUUUAGCAUACCUUUUGCGUCCAUAUCAUUUGAAUUUUGUGUUUUAUUUGGAAAUUCAUAACUUUGUGAUAUGGACUAGCAUAAAGGCAUAUUUAUAUGAAAGUUAUAGAUUUCAACCUGAUCUACAACUUUGUAGGUGAAAGUUUUCAAUUUAAAGUUGUUCAUAUGUCAAAUAAUUUCAGCUCUUGUUUCCCCCUUUAUUCUCAUCCUUCUAAGUUGAAUUUUCUAUUGUGUUUGGAAAUUUGUAACUUCUGCAUAUGGUUUCAGAUGGAGAUGAACAUUACAUGGAACUUGUAGGCUUCGAUGAGAUCUACAACCUUGUAGUUAAAAGUUUUUUAUUUAAAUUCAUUUAUGUGCCAAAAUAAUAGAUAAAAGCUUUAGGCAACACGGGUCAAAAGGAAUAGAACUUUAUUAUGCGUGCAGAUAUCUAGCGUAGGUAGAGUGGUAGAGAUGUAUCGCGCGGGUCAAAAGGAAUAGAACUUUAUUAUGCGUGCAGAUAUCUAGCGUAGGUAGAGUGGUAGAGAUGUAUCGCGCGAGAUCGGAGGUUGUGAGUUCGAAAAUCGGACACUGCACGCGCAGAUAUUUCAGGGGUGACUUGGGACCGUGAGCUUAGCUCAGGGUGCCUCAUAAACAAUAUUUUUUUUGCUAUUUUCGUUUGUAAAUUGCUAUUUCUACUACCUGCGUCGGUGUGUUAUCCCACCGACAUGUAUAAUCCAUUAUUCGUGUCUGCUUCGACAUUGCCAUGAACAACCAACCUAAUUCGCAUAGAUGUCGUGGUGCCAGUCCCAUAACCGGUACGAAUGAGGUUUUCACGCCAGCACGAAUGAGUUCUGCAGUAGCGGUCAGGCAUUCACUAGCAUAUAUCGUCAUUUGUAUAGGUUGAAGGUUGCUGGCGCAAACUGGUUUUGAUUACCGUACACAAGUAGUUUCUACAGUUGUCGACAACAAGGUUCGGUGGAAGUUGUGGUACACAGUUUCCGUGGUUGUGCCAAGAGUCUGGUAAGGAGGUUCACAUGGUGGAGGAGUAGGGCGGGAAUCUCAACAAAAGAUAUGUUGGAUCUUAAGCUACUGUAACUCGAGGCAGAUCACAUUGUAAAGCUCUACUAGAGAAAAGGACACCUGUACUCAACGAACAUGUAUUUGGACCCAGCAUUAAUGCUAGGGUCUAAAUUUGAUCAUCCCGGGAAUCCUUUCCCAACCUGUAUUAAGAUCCUGUCUGGUUCCGAGCUCCUAAAAGUUUUAGCAGCCUUCUAAAAACUCCCAAAAGAGUGUUUAGGUCCACCUCCUAAAACUGACUAAAGGUAAUAAAUGCACUCGCAAAAGGACCAUGAUGCCCCUCCCCAUGCCCCUGUCCCUGGCCGCAGCUUGUCCAGCGACGUCGGCCUCCUCUUCCUCUCCGGCGACUCAGGGUUGAAAUGCGCCGCGCCGUGCCCGUGAUGCCGCGGCUCAUGUUCUUGAUUACAUUGACAAAGAAACCAGUCACGCACGUCACCAUACAUCGAGCACAAAAAUGGUGCCCAAGAACUCGGAGACAUCGAGGAGGCUAGAGGACCCUCUCUAUCCUGCCCAUCGCCCAGUAGCUAGGCACUCUGCUGGCACCAUCACCACCGCCACGAUGGAGGCCAGACAGUUCAUCGCAGACCUCUCGCCCACCCGCAAGCUCACCCCGGUGCCGUUGCUGCCUCCGCCGGGUCUAGGCGCGAAGGGGUGGCGGAUCUGGUUGGGGAGGGCGCAGAUCGGAGGGGGAGUGAGCAGGCGCUGACACCGAGGAGGAGCGGGAGGGCCACGGCGGGCCCGUGCGGUGGUGCAAGGGAGCGGGGGCGGCAGAUCUGGCGGGCGCCGACGUGAAGGAGGGAGGGAGCGGUGGCAGGGGUGACGGAUCCGGUGGCGCGAGGGGGCGGGGGCGGCGCGAGGGGGAGUGGAGGGAGGGAGCGACAACGGGGUUGUGGAGGGAGCAGGGGCGGGCCCGUGCGGCAGCAGCGGGCAGAAUGGCGGCAGGCUGCUAGGCGGGAGGGAGGGUGGGAGAGAGAGGGGGGACAGGGCAAUAAAGGAUGGGUAGUGGGGGUUCAGGAUGGAUUUUAGGUACUUUUAGGAGGAGGUGGAGCUCCUAAAGUUUUUGGCCCUUCCUAAAGUUUUUAGGAGCUUUUAGGAGGGGGGUGUUUGGUUCUUUAGGCAAAUUUUAUCCAGAUUUUAGCUCCUAAAGUUUUUAGAGGGGUACCCAAACAGGACCUAAACCUACCAUUUCAAACCAGUUGCUAUUACCAUCCUUUACUAAUGCUCCUCGAAACUAUUACCACUUGAUGUAACCAUCUGGUAAGUACCUGUUGAUGUAAUCAAUAGAACUAAAAGAUCCUCUAGAGAUGACAUUAAAAAAAGCAUUUCUUAUCCAGGGUUGUAAAUAUUUUUUUGAUAUUUUUUACCGACUAGUACUAAAGGUGACAGAUCUGAUAUUAAAGGUCGGAACUUUUCGUCUUGGUUUUUUUGUACCGUUUCAAAAUUCAAGAGUAAAGGAGGGUUUGGAACCAAUACAUAAGCCAUAAUCUCCAAUAAUAGUGAGACCAAUAUGCUCUCCAUGCAUAUGAUGGAUGUGGUGGUGGCAUUUGCAGGGACCGAUAUUACAAGGGUGGUGGUGCAGAGGCGGCAUGAUCAUGAGAGGUAGAUUGCUUGAAUAUAAUGUUACAUAGAGAUGCAUCGGUGGUGCGAUUGUGGAUUGCGUGGUGAUAGAGGAGAAUUGUUGCGGUGGAGGUCGAUCUUAUGGGCGCUAUCGCGGCGUUAGUUGUUUUGAUGGCUCAUGUCGUGAUGGCCGACGAAGUCCACAAUGAACCUGAUGAGCAGGUUCAGGCACGCAAUGCCUAGAUGAAGCAGCUUGAUAAACUGGAUGUAUUGGUUUUUGUGUAAAUACUGCUAUGCUGUUGUUAAACUCAUAUUUUCAUAUGUGGAACAAUAGGUCAAAAAAAUUAUGCUACCCCAUCACACAAAUAUAGCUUUGUUCAGGUGAUCAUUUCCAUUCCUCCAGAGCUAAAGGUUCAUUCAGAAUUCGAUUACUUACAUUCCAAAAAUGCUAAACGCAGAGACUAAAUGGUGAGCAAUAAGCAAUUUAGUAGAAGGUAGGCUUUGUACGUACAACGAAGGCGUAGCCGGUGACGGUUGCCCAGGAGUUGCCGAGCGUGGCGCCGGCGAGGUGGACGUCGCCGAGGUGGCCGGAGAACAUCACCGACACCAGCGGAAUGCCGUAGUAGGCCAUGUUGGUGAGCACCAUCGGCACCGCGAAACGCAGCUGCGCCUGCGCCUCCUCCGUGUCAACUAUCCGGCCAAGCCAUGCUAACCAGCAUGGUAGCUGCUGCUCCCCUCCAACUUUGCCGGCGGCGAGGUCAUCGCCCUUGCAGCGGUCGCCGAGCAGCGGAGCCGACGACAUGUCGCUGGGUGACGUGGAGCUAUCGGCCGGGUAGACAGGUUCACCUCCUAGCUCGCUGAUAUUGGUAUAUAGGCUAUGGAUCAAGAAGUGCACCGUGGUUGUGUUGUGCAUUUCUAGCCGGAUGAACGUGGCGCAAAGUUGGUGGAUAGUGUGGAAUAUUUGAGAUCCGAUGGACGCAGAUUUUGUUAAUUUUUAAUUUGAAACAUUUAUGAAACUGGUCCAUGUUCAUUUAUGUCGAUUUGUGUGCGUUUGGUCUGCUGGCCAGCUAGAGCAGGUCAUUCUCACCCUUCCAUUGACCAGCAUCUCGAUCGAUCUUCUCACGUGCCUCGCAGCCAUCGCCGGUGGUUGACAGGAUUAUGGUGUCCUUAAUUAAUUGUUGUAAGUCGAUAAUCUUAAAAGAAAUAUGAAGUUGGCUGAGCUAUGUUGUUCUUGUAUACUACUCGCAAAGGAAGUCGUUUUAGACAAGGCUUGGGUCAAACAUUGGAAAUAUAAAUCAUGAAUAACUUUUAAGUUGUUGAGUUUGGAAAUGUAAAAGUCAUAUAUAUAGAUUUGUCUUGAAAAAUGCUUUCAUUAAAAUAUACAUAUAUCACUUUUUGAUAAAUAUUUUUAUAAAAAUAAAGAGUCAAAGUAAUACUUUGGAGACCGUGUUGCUGUUCAAAACGACUUCCUUUGUGAGUAUGGACGGAGUACUCACUAUGUAGAAAAUAAUAUCAUUUUGAGACAGAUUUUUAUAUAUAAGUAUAUAACGUCAGUAAAAUUUAGAGUACUUAGGCAUCUUGUAAUGUUUACAAUUAUCCGUAAGAGAUGGCAAACUGAGAUGAGACGACAUGUGGCACAAUGUGUUUACAGGGAUGGAUGAGUGAUUAAUUAGAUUUAAUUCGACCGAUAUCAUAAAAUAUUUGUUAAUUAUAAAGUACUUUCUCCGUUUCAAAUUGUAGGUUGUUUUGAAUUUUUUAGAUUCAUAGAUAUUAUUAUAUAUCUAGACAUACACUAUAUCUAGGUAUAUAUAAAAAAAAUAUGCACCUAGAAAAUCCAAAAUGAUGUACACUUUAGGAUGGACGGAGUAGGUAAUUUUAUAGUGAUUAGUGAUAAUGCUAUGAUCAUGGAGCAAUCUUGUUUAAAUAACAUAUGUGGCCAAAAGGAAAUAAGAUACCAUGGGAAGUUGAGAUACAUGAAUAGGCAAAGCAAAAUUAUAGCGGAAUGAAAACACAUAAUUGACGGAUGGUGGACUGACAAAUUUGACGAUCUCAGGCGCAACGUUGACAGACAAUGCUCGAUUGUCUCCAUGAUAUUAAUGUAGUGCCACAUGGAGUUUUGGAUGAUGUGACACUAUAUUAAAUGAGAGGUAAAGAAAAAAGAACAAAUUAGAUCUCAUGCAAGAUAUUGUUCCAACAAGAAAUUUAAAGCACUACAAACUAUUGAAUUCUAUAUUGUGGGGGACUUGUGUCUCCAUGAUUAGUGAGGCUGAAAGAUGGUUGGUGAACUGAGCUACGCUCGGAUAGUAAGGUUCGUUAUGAUGAAACAUACCGAUCAAGGUUCAUGUUCUUGACUUGGUAAUGAUGCUUACGUUUUCUUGAAUUUAUUAUAGGAUUAACCGGCGUUGUUCCAUCCACAUCUACAUUUAUUUCGAAUACGAAUAUGAUUUUGGAUAAUAAAACACAAAUUUAAAUAUAUCCAUUUAAGAUACCACAUUAAAAAACACUAGAAACGAAUGCGGAUACGGAUGUCCAUAUAUCACAUUUUUAACGGAUACGAGCUAGCGGCUAGGCAACUUAAUUAUUACCAUCCAUGAGCUCCUUCAUUGUGUGUCACUGCACCAACCGACAGUAAUUUUGUACGUGGCUAUUACGGCGCGCCGCUUAAGAAACACGUGGUCCGAUGCACUUAUCUCGGCUGCAUUGAUACUGCAGCGUGACUUCCGCACGGAGUUACCCUAGUACAGUACUCCAUGUGCGCAGAAGAGCACAAAAAAGGGAGCAGCAUUUCAACUUUGGUUAGCUGACCAAAUAUAGGAUCCUAAUUCAACAGUUCUUGGUAUGCCAAAUGUUUUCCAAAAAGUAAAGGAAUUACAAAACUCCAGGGAUUCGUACGUCACUAGUCACUUCAACAUUGAAGUAACAAUACCGUAAAUAACGUGUCUAUAACAUGCAUGGCGCAGUCUUGCUGACAAAUUUAUGACCAAUAUUUGUUCAAAUUAAACUACGCGGGGGCAACAUUUGUCUAUCAUAAUAUAAUGUUUGGGAUGGUGUUCUUAAUGAACUUUUUUUUUCACUCCACAUGUUUUUUUUGUGAUAGGACCAUCUAAGACGUACCUAAUCUUCACGGACUCUCUUUGUUUUUUAUAAACAAAAUAUAUUAAUUACAUCAGGAGAUACAUUGUUUUAUAUUGAUCUCAAGCAAAAUACAAUGGUAUUCUAGAGAUUUCAAGGCGGAAGCAGGUUGUUGGUCGAGGUUGUUGGUCGAGUGUUAGUUUGCCUGACAUGUUGGGGAUCGCCCAAACAAAUAGUCACCCUCGAGCUUAUCGUGCUCAGCGACAACAGCUCAGCCCCUUAGGAUAAUUAACCUCAGGUGAGGCCUCCUAACCUUAGACGGUGAACCUGAUACGGAAAAGUAAUCUUAGUCUCGCUAUCCUAAGUUUUAACUCGAAGCCAGGAGGCAAUUACCAAUCCCCUGACUAGCCGAGUCUAACCUCGAGCACUCGAAGCUAACCACGAGUGCCAAGUUAUUCACUGUCUUGUGCAAAGUCGCUGGUUUAGAUUGGGAAGCAGGGCACGAGGUUGAGCGCCUCUCGGACGCGAAGCUAAGGCGAUUGGAACUCCCGAAGCUAGGAUGGCUUUGGUCGCGAGGUCAAGAAGCGUGGAGGCGUUGGAAACGUGAAGGCAUGAUUUGUGGAACCAUGUGAGAGCAUGAAUUACGGAAAAGGCGUGAGAAGCAUGAUCCUAAGAGGAGACCAAGUCAUACAAGUUAUGACCUAAAAAGAUCUCUAUGUAAAGUAUAUUCUAGAAAUGUAGUAGGUGAAUGAGGGUAAUUGUGGGAUGUAAAGUGUCCUCCGAGACACUAUAAAAGUGGAGCCCUACCCCGAUGUAAACUCAUGUUCAUUUCUUAGAAUUGAAUUGCAAGUGCUGCUUUAACAUCAUUGUGUUCGAACUUCGCUGAAACUUGUUUUCCAACAUCACAGAUCGAUUGGCCAAAGUUGCUCUGUAGGAACUGAAAACGUUGUCACGUGGUUUGGCUGCAACGCAUACGACGAAUCUGGGUGGUUCAUGGCCUCGAAUUCCACGUAAAAAGGUAUAAGAAAAAGAAAUGUAGUAUCCACGUAGAAGAGAUGAAUAGUAGAUGAGAAUAGAGACAGCGAUACAAAUUAUAAAAUAAUGUUGAACUGUGGGUUGGUAGGGUGACACCGCCAACGUCGAGAUUCACAAAACCAUUACUGACUCCGACAUUGAUUAUCGUGUAGUUUAGUAAAGAAUCCAUGCUCAGGCGGCCGCAUACCUGAAAAACGUAGCUGGAGCACUCCAUCGGACAAGCAAGUGCUUCACGAAGCAAAGCAAGCAGCCAUGGUGAGCAUGGAGAGCCGGAGCCUCCUCGCUGCUGCCCCAGCUCUGGCAGUCGCCAUCAUCUUCCUCUCUACCACCGCACCGCUGGCGCGCGCGGCAUCCGUCGAGCACACAUUUGUCGUAAGUUUGCACACAAAUCGUGAAUAGACUUUCACCAAAUUCGGGCACUAUAACACACUCGCUUAUGCUUGAUUUGUUGGAAAAUAUUGUAGGUGAAUCAGACGAAGAUGACGCGCCUGUGCAAGGAGACACUGGUCACCGUGGUGAACGGGCAGCUCCCAGGGCCGACCAUUGAGGUCACAGAAGGAGACUCGGUGACUGUUCAUGUCGUCAACAGGUCACCUUACAACAUUACGAUCCACUGGUAAGCGAUGAUGGCAUAAAAAUAAGUUCAUUUCCACGGCUAGAUUAUUUAGGCACUCAUUUGGGGAAAAAAAUCAUAUGUAAUCGUUAAUGAUAUAUUCCCUUCGUUGAUUUCCUGAACUACGUAGCCUUUCCUAAAUGUUUUGUCUUUAGAAACAGAGAUCGUACACUUUAUAUAAGGAAUCAUGCAUUUAGAUAGUAGCUACACACUAUCAAGUGAUAAAUAAAAUAUACAAUAAUGAAGUUGAUCUAGGAUAUAAUGCUGACAAAGUUCACGUUGGACUUUGUAGUAAGAUAGUAAAAAAUUUAUAAACACUUACACUAGGUCAGGUUUUGCAACCUUUUUUUAUACAAAAUUGCAGAAUUGUAAGAUCCAAAAGUUUGUAAUUGACAAAUGACAACCUUUUAAUAAGUGAAGCCAUUUAUACCUAUAUAUUACAAUCAUCCUGAUUUUUGAAAAAUAUGGAUCAAAAGGAAUAAAACUCUUAUUGCUAUCAACAAAAAAAAAAGAGGACCGCAUGUGACGGGUGGAUAUGGUUGUAGGUUUGAUUCCUGGGGACACGAACGUCUGUAUUUUGCAUGAACAAACACUUGAGUAGUGACGUGCACUCUGUGAGUAGUUCGGAGGUGGUCUGUGGUUCUAGAUUUGUUUAAUAACAUUUUGAUGCUCAUAUAUUUAUUUCAAUAAACAUUUUAUCUCUAAUGAUGGUUCAACCCUCGAGCAGUGAGAGAGAGAGGAAGUUAUCGGUGUUCAAAAUAAUUGGUUUAUGACUACUUAAAAAUCUUUCACUUCUAUGGAAACUGUGACAUAUGAGAAGAGUAGUGAACCAGGAGAGAUAACACUAGUGACAUCUACGACUGAAAAGUAAAGAACAACUCAACCAAACAGCAACUCGUAUGCUAACUGACCUUGACAGCAUUAAAAGAAGGACACUUCCGAUUAAACAUAUAAUGAGCUAGUACGAUCGACACCAGGUGACACUCGUGGCAGGCAACCGAUUUACAGGAUAUCGUAGGAGCUCAAUGUUGCCCGUUGUUGUUUAUUAUGUUAGGAAAGGAUUAGUUCCUAUAUAAUCUUUAUAUGGUGGUGUUGAUCCUUUUUUUUUUUCAAUUUGGACUCUUAUUUUUAUUUGAGGUGUCCAGAUUGACUUGUAUCUCACAGUUGAUCUUCACCAUCGCAAUCUGGAUCCGCUCGAUAAACUAUGUAGAUUUGACGCAUUUCUAAUGAUUAACUUGGUAAUUUAAAGCCCCUAUGAUUAAACUUUGAGCCACCAUUUUCAGUCAACUACAAAGACAACUGUGUUUUUCAAAAAACGUAAUAUUGUUAUUAUUAUCAUUUCUGAUUACAUAAAUGCAUUUUGUGGUUCCUGAUGCAGGCAUGGAGUAAAGCAGUUUCGGAACUGCUGGGCUGAUGGGGUGCCUAUGGUCACCCAAUACCCUAUCCAGCCGAACAAAGAUUUCACUUAUCGGUUCAAUGUCGUCGGGCAGGAAGGCACUCUGUGGUGGCAUGCUCAUGUCCCCGGCCUACGGGCAACCCUCCAUGGCGCAUUCAUCAUUCGGCCAAGGCUUGGGGCUGAGUCAUAUCCAUUUCCUAAGCCUCAUAAGGAGAUCCCAGUUAUUAUAGGUUUGUGUACCUUUCUGAUAUUGAUUGCUGAUCAUCUGAGAACAUAAACGAUUUUUAGGAGCAAUUUUUAAUUGGGACCCAUUUGAGGAGAACAAAAUGUGUCAAGUCCUCUGGGAAAUGAAUUAUGCAAUUUCGCCAUGCUUGUGCAACUACCUAGUAGAUGUGAAAUGAUCCUGACGAUUACAGGGGACUGGUGGGAGGAGGACCUUGCAGAGAUGGCCCGGAACAUGACGAAGGGCAUCUUUUUGUCUUAUGCUAGUGCCUCCACAGUCAAUGGCUUGGUCGGAGAUCUCUUCAAUUGCUCCGGUAAGCAGUUAUUUAAUUGAUGUACAGUAGCCCACUGGCUCUGUUUUAAUGUCAUUUAGUGCAUUUAAACAGCUGGUUUGACCGAUAAUUCGCUAGAAGAUGGGUGAUCGACUAUUUACAAUUGUGUUAGGUGAAAAAAUACCGAUAUAUCCUUUUCUUUGGCUCUGUUUUUAUUAUAGUUCAUCUUUCAGGUGUCACAAAAGAAGGAUAUGUUCUGGAUGUGGAGCCUGGCAAGACCUACCUGCUACGAAUAAUCAAUGCCGGCCUCUUCUCUGAGUUCUAUCUUAAGAUCGCUGGGCACAAGUUCACGGUGGUUGCUGCCGACGCUAACUACGUCAGCCCGUUCACCACAGAUGUCAUCGCAAUCGCAGCUGGCGAGACAGUGGAUGCCUUGCUGAUUGCCAAUGCAGCCCCUGGCAGGUACUACAUGGUCGCCCUACCCAAUCAGGCACCAUUGCCUGACACCCAAACUCCGGAGUACGCUACAAGGGGGAUGGUGCGGUAUAAGGUCAGCCACAGCACCUGCACUAGCUCAACGACAGUGAGCUCAUGCCAGGGUACAGAAGAAGAAGAAAAAGGAUAUCGAGGUACAUCUGGUGAUGCUCCAAUAGUGCCUAAGAUGCCUGACAUACAUGACACAAUUACAUCGUUCUACUUCCAUGGCAACCUGACCAGCCUGCACCACCAAGGGCAACUUCCAGUCCAGCAACAAGUCGAUGAGCGCCUCUUCAUCGUGCUUGGCCUCGGCACCAUCUGCAAGAAAGGCCAGUUCUGUAAGAGGGGUAGCAGUGACGAGGACCUCCUAGUGGCCACGAUGAACAAUGCUUCCUUCCAGCACCCCACAGCGAUACCAACACCACUACUAGAAGCGCACUACUACCACACCGGCCUCAUCAAUGCCACGACACAAGAGCUUCCGAAGGGGCCACCGAAAUUGUUCAACUUCACCGAUGAAGCCUUAAUCCCUUUUGGACCCAAAGAGAUGCAGCUAGAGCCAACUUACAAGGCGACGUUGGUCCGGAGGUUCCGACACGGUGCUGUGGUGGAAAUAGUCUUUCAGAGCACAGCGAUCCUACAGGGAGACUCCAAUCCAAUGCACCUACAUGGGCAUGACAUGAUUGUGCUUGCACAAGGCCUUGGCAACUAUGAUCCAGCGAAGGCCGUGGCCACGUACAACCUGGUUAAUCCACUAAUAAAGAACACUGUGCUUGUCCCAAAUCUUGGGUGGAUCGCCAUCCGAUUUGUCGCCAAUAAUCCAGGUGUGUAUAAGAUUUGAAUGCUAGUUUCAUGUUGGAAAAUAUUAUGUGGAAACCCCUAUCUUGGUUUAAUCGUGGAAAGCCCUAGUGAACCUCCCUUGAAUAUAUUUUUGUAUAGGUCGUCGAUUGUUGGAAAUAGUCUUGUGAACUUGUUUAUUUGAAGUUUAGAGAAAAUCUUGCUAAAAGGUAGAAGAUUGGACUUCACUAGCAGCAUAACAUUAUGUUUGUUCCAUUUAUUAUUUUAGACCAUGAAAGUCCUCAAGACGUUCAAGUUUGCUGUUGUUAAUUAUGCGUUAUAAGGCCUAAACUGUUGUAGGAAAGGAAAAUUCUGGAACAAAAGAUGUAAGCAUAUUUCAUUUAUUUAACCUUCCAGUCAAUACAUAUUUCUAGAGCCACAAAAACAAGUCUUAUGAUAAAAUAGCGCAAAAUUUUAUCAAUAAGAAAUCAUUCAUCUUCUAGAUUUUACUUCCUUCUAUCCCAAAUAUAAGCCUAUCAAGACUCGUGUUCUUCAAUUCAGGUUUGUAUUCCAAUGACCAUAUUGAAUAAUACUCAAUUAACAAAAUUAUUACGGUGCUUUGUUCAUUUAAGCUAAAAAAUUGAUAACUUUAGAAAGGGGUCGGAUAAAAUAGGAAAGUGGAAUCAAAAUUAUGUCUCAAAGUUGUUUGACUACUAUUUGGUGCAUUGUGAGAAUGACCACUUACAUUUAUACUUGGUAUCUGAAGGAGUCAAUUUUUUAAGCAUUCCACGAGACUUCAAUAUAAUUAUCCAGAGUUGUAUUCCUAGGAAAUUAUUCAAUAAAAUUUAUUAUAGUGUUUUUCCGAUUCGCACCCAUAUUUGUUUGUCUAAGUUGCCUGCCAAAGCACCUCUUGGCGUCAAAAACUAACUUAUUGUCUUUUAUGUUGUACAGGGGCAUGGUUCAUGCAUUGCCACUAUGAGUUUCAUCUAUCAAUGGGCAUGGCAGCAGUCUUUAUUGUAGAGGAUGGACCAACAAAUGACACGUCUCUCCCUCGACUGCCAGUGAAUUUUCCGACUAUUGGUCAAGACAUCAAUCUCAUGCCCAAUGACUUAUAUCUCAAAACUAUGAAAAGUUAAAACUAGUGCACAAAGGGAGUACCUGUGUAUGUAUGAAGACAACUCCUAUUACUUAUUUUGAAUAAAUGGUUAUGAAUAAUGGAUGUGCGUCAUGAGAUAAAUGUACAUAUAUUAUUAAUGUCAAACUUUUUUGAACUGAUAAAAUGUCAUGCACCUAACCAUUUGGAUUGAAAAGAUGUCGAACUAGUCAUGGUUGCAUCGCCACCCACACAAUACCUUAUCCAUGUCGGCCAAUCAGUACCGGUCGAAAACCAGAAGGGCCAUCUACAUUGGCUGAGCAACCAACCCGCACAGGGCUUGAAAACAAUGACCAGCUUCACUGCACAAUAUUUGUAUUAGCAUGAAGAAGCCUGGCACCGAUAAUAUCCGUCUCAUCCAUACAUGCUGAGCUUCCAUUAAUAUUAGCAUUGGCACAGACAUAUAUCAUCUCUCAAGAAGCCCCUGAUAUGUAAAAGCAUGUUGUUGGCGCUACAAUUUUACUGACCACAUGCCAAGCAUAUGCAAUUACUUGGAUUCAAUGUUGAAGCAUAGUUAUAUUUUUUUCACACGAUGUCGAGAAGGAGAAGACCGCAGGCACAAUUCAGUGAAUCAUGGUCAAGUAUUGUCGAGGAGGAGGAGAAGACCGCAGGCACUCAUUUGCUGAAGGAGUUACGUUUUGCAGGCAAUGCAGCAACUUAUUCGGAAGUUCAACACACUGAAUAGUAUUGUCUUCCUUGCAAACUCUUCCACAAGCUGGAGUGCUAACUUGCAUUCCAGGAGUGGGUGAACUUUCUAGAAAGACUGACAUUUUUUUCCGCAUGUUUGGUUCGGGAACCAUGCCCCCUAAGCCCUUUCAUGCAUACUUCUCCAAUAAGAGAAUCACUCCAAGAUGAAGGAACAUCUUGCUCGGCGUCCUCGGAAUUUUGGUGCAAAAAUAUUUGUAAUAUCUUCUGGUCAUGAGCUUCUCGUCAUUCAUGAUCAUCAAAAUAUUACCGUGGUCUGUAGGCUGUAAUGCUCCACGAUUGGUUCCCCGAAAGCUAUGAGUAGAGAUGGGUAGAAUACGGAAAUUCAUGACGCCAUGCACGAUCCAUAGUCCCAGGCCUUCCAAGCACUAAUGAGCAAACACUGAUUUAGAUCUAGUGGAAUGACAUCACGAAUCAUAACAUCACCGUGUCCACAUAAUGAAAACUUCACCUUCACCUUGUGUACGUAUAAACCACGGUUAUUUAACCAUGAAAUAUCUGGCCUCGUAUGAUGCAUCCGCGACAGUCCCAAAACAUUCACAAGACAUUCACUUGCAGCAUUGAUGACAGAGAAUUGAUCCACAAUCGUAGCACUUGUACCCGCAACAACUUCACAGCGAGUGUAGCACAUGGAAAGAUCAGGAUCCACGGUUGGAUCCUGCUCAUAAUUUCGCAAUGCAGUGCCCAGAAUCAUGGUAGCAAUCAUAAAAAAAAAUCUCAAAUAGUACAGUUAACAGCAGAUAUACCGUGAUCAACUUAGCAAAACUGAUACGACCUGAUAAGGACAUGCUUGCUGUGCACAGGAUCUGUCCCAAUCUUUGACGGUACUAAUCACUUACAGAAUUUAGUCUCAAUAGUAUGGCUGUCCAAUAUAUGCUCCCUUUCUAAAUUCAGUUGUCGUGAUUAUUUGCAGACUAGGAAUGGUGAUAGACUAAUCUGAAAAUACUAGCAAAACAGAUACUGCACAAGAUAUAGCUUCUUGUACAGAGCCAAAUAACUGGAAUAUGAACAACAGCAUUCAUAGCUAUCUUCUUUUAAAUCAGGCAACAGCUGGACACUCUUACAGCCACAAGAUGGAAAUCUCCACAGACACUACCGGAAACCUUAAAUUUGCCGAGUGUUUUUUUCGGACACUUGGCAAACAAGCUCUUUGCCGAGUGCCGGGCUAAGAACACUCGGCAAAAAAAACACUCGGCAAAUGAUGGAUUUGCCGAGUGUCAGAAAAAAAACACUCGGCAAAAAGUGGGUUUGCCGAGUGUCAAAAAAACACUCGGCAAAGAGUGUGAUUUGCCGAGUGUCAAAAAAAACACUCGGCAAAACAAUAAAUUUUUUUCCUCUUUCCACCUUGAAAUUUUUUCUACUACCCACAUACAACAUGUGGUACUCCAUGUUAAAGUUUGGUAUAUUUUUGAAUUUGUUUGCUAUAUUUAUUUAAUUAAUUGUAUUUCAAGAAAAUUUUUGGUAUAAGUCAAAUUUGAACUGCAAGUGAUUCAAAUUAUAGAAUAAAAUGAGUAGAAAAAUGACCAAUUUGAGACCUGACCCAAUUUUAAUUGCAUUUCAUGUUAUUGGCCCAAUUUGAGACCUGACCCAUGAAAUAAAAAGAAAUUUCGAACAUCUUGUUCAGGAAACACGACCACGAACGUGUGGCAGUGGUAUUUUUAAAUUGUAAAAAAAACAAGCAAAGUCUGAAAAUCAUGAGAUUUCUCAUGAUGUGAUGAUAUCAUACGUGGAGGCUAUGGAAAAAAUUGAGAAGGUUUUGCAUAUUUUGUCACGUACGAUGUUUACAAACCGACGCAUCUCAAAAGAAGAAUAGUAACGUUGAGAAGGAUUGGAUAAGAUUUGGAGUCAAAAUGACAGUCGAGUUUUGAUUUGACUACAAAACUUCUUGUAUAGUCAAUAGAGAAUAUACAUUAUUUCAUGUGAAUUUUUGGCAAUUUUUUGAAAUUGUUGGAUAAUUUUAUUUUUUUUAAAAUAGCUUUGCCGAGUGUCCUAGGUUAGACACUCGGCAAAGCAACCCUUUACCGAGUGUCACACCUAGGACACUUGGUGAUUUUUUUCCCACACCGCGCAGGACAUAAAGUCCCACCAACCAGCACCGCACCCGGCCCCUCAUCUUCAUAUGUUGUGGAUGGUAAUUCAUUAUUCUCAGGAAGAAUCUUCUUGACAAUGUUCAACAUCCCCUGAAAUGCCUUAUUGGACACACCAUUUUUUGCCUUCCAUUGCACAAAUUCUAGUGUCGUACCUAGUUUUUUAUGGCCCUACUGGUAACAUGGGUACAACAAUUUUUGGUGAUCAUCUAUCAUGCGCUGCAACUUUGCUGCUUCCUUCUCAGUUUCGCAAUCUCUGUGUGCAUCUCGUAUCACCUGACCAAGGUCAUCAGUAGAGCCAUUUUCUGCAAACUCAUCUUCAUCAGCCUCGCCCAUUGUAGUAUCUGCAAAAGCUUGGCCUGCAACCCAGUCCGGAAUGCUUUCAUCUUCCUCCUCCUCCUCGCCAUCUUCCAUUACAACCCCUCGUUGACCGUGCUUGGUCCAAACCAAAUAGUUAGGCAUGAAACCGUAUUUAAACAAGUGGCUGUGAAUAGUCCCCCAGGAAUAAUUUGAAUACUCCUUCUUGUUAUUGCAUUGGAAGCAUGGACAACAUACGAACCCAUUCUCUGGCUUGUUCGCUUUGGCCACUUCGAGAAAAUAAUGCAAGCCAUCAAUAAACACCUUGCUCCACCUGUCUGCAUUAUACAUCCAUUGCCGGUCCAUCUGCAUCGUAUUACGCAUGAAAAUGGAUUACACUUGACAAUGGAUUAUGCGUGAAAAUUGAUUAAAGAUCCAAACAACAUGAUACAAUACAACAACAUGAAGAUCCAAAUAUACAUAUUUAAAUUAAAGAUCCAAACAACAUGAUACAAUACAACAAGCCAUCCACUGGUUAUUAUCUAGGAGGACUUUAAGCAUCCUUGGGCGGUGAAGACGAAGGUUCCACUGACCCAGCCUCAUCCUUAGGUUUAUUUGUGCCGCCUGAACUGGUAGUACUAAGUGGACGUGAAACACCCGGGACUGAGGGUGGAGCAUAACGACCACCAAAAGGAGGUUCCUGACCCGAGGCAACAGCUUCUUCAUGACGGUGCUGCAAAUAACAAAACAUUGCUUUUUCCAACGCGCUCAUUUUCUUCGGCUUAUGCUGAGGGCCAACUAUGAUUUUCCCCUUGCCGAAAGAGGAACCACGACCACCCCCACCAUCACCACUUCCUCCAGUAGCAGAAGCUAUCUAUGUACAAAAACUAUUACCUUAACACUGCAUAAGUUGUUGAACUUGAAGACCGUGAUCAUCUCGUGAGCAUGUCCUCAACUGGACGGCACCGCACUUCGUCAUGAAAGAGGUUCGAUUCUACGGAAAAGGGGACACAGUCACGAUGUCUGUAUCCACUCAUUCUCGUAGAAUCGAACCUCCUUCUUGACAUACGUUGCUGCUCGGCGGAGAACAUCCUCUCAGAGAUGACCAUGGUAUGCAAGUUCAACAAGUAUGGAUUUGAAAAACCAUAUUGAAUUUGAUAAGUUCAACAAGUAGCAGAAACCAUCUAUGUACAAAAAUUAUUUCCUUAGCACUGCAGAAGUUGUUAAACUUGAAGACCGUCAUCAUCUCCCGAGCAUGUUCUCAACUGGGCGGCACUGCACUUCGUCAUGAAAGAGGUUCGAUGCUACGAAAAAGGGGACACGGUCACGAUGUCCGUAUCCACUCUUUCUCGUAGAAUCGAACCUCCUUCUUGACAUACGUUGCUGCUCGGCAGAGAACAUCCUCGCAGAGAUGAACACGGUAUGCAAGUUCAACAAGUAUGGAUUUGAAAAACCUUAUUUAAUUUGAUAAGAUAAACCGUCUAGACAAGGUAGCAUCAUUCUUAAACCACUGCAAGAAUACAUACUAUAUAUGACACAUCAAUCUCUCUUACAUUCUAGCUCAAAAUACCUCACCAUUUUCUACUUCAUCACAUUCUAGCAAUUAAUCUUUCCAUCUCCAAAGCAUAAAUCAAAGCAUAACAUGAGGAUGAAGUAGCAAACCUUCACAACACUUGUGUUGGCUGAGUAAAAUUCCCAUGAAAAUGAGGGAAAAAACUUCGGGCAGCACCUCCCUUGCUUUGUCACCACCGGAGAGUAGGUGAAGCUCAGCUCUCUGUCUAUGUGCUGGACUGGCUCGGGCUGGAGGAGGAAGAAAAGCCUCUGUCUUGGUAUAUAAUGGGAAUGAGUUUUUAUCCCGGUUAAAAACUCCAACCGAGAUAAAAAGGAACACCUUUUAUCCCGGUUGAAAGUUUAGUCCCGGUUGAAAGUUUAGUCCCAGUUGGAAGCUGCAACCGGGACUAAACUUUUUGUGCUGUAAUGAAAAAAAUAUGUUGUUUAUAUUUUGUAUAAUAAAUUUACAAAUAUUUAUAUUGUGAUCCUUGCAAACACUUCCACGAGAUCGAGUGCUAACUUGCAUUCUGAGGGUAGGAGAACUUUCUAGAAAAGCCGAUCUUUUUUCAGUAUGUUUGGUUCGGGUACCAUGCCCUCUAAGCCCUUACAUGCAUUCUUCUCUGGUAAUAGAAUCACUCCAAGAUGAAAGCACAUCUUGCUUGGUGUCCUAAAAAUUUUGGCCAAAGAUAUUUGUCAUCUUCGGGUCACCUACCAUUGAUGUAAUCUUCUAUUUCUUGACACAAGCUUCUCUUCGUCGGCGAUCAUGUGGUGUGCAGGCUGUAAUGCUGAAACAUUAGUCCCCCAAAAUAUAUGAGUAGCGGUGGGCAGAAUACGGAAGCUACAUCAUGAUGCCAUGCACGAUCCAUAGUCAAGGGCCUUCCAAGCAACAAUGUGCAAACACUGGUUUCAAAUGGAAUGACAUCACAAAUCACAAAAGCACAACUCCACACGGUGAAAACUUAAACUUCACGUCAUGUUUAAUCUUAAUACCUUGCUUAUUUCACUAUAAAGUAUAUGGCCUAUGAUUCAUCCGUGAUGGUCCCAAAACUUUCACAAGACAUUCAUUUGCUGCAUUGAUGGUAGAAAAUGGAUGCACAAUCGUAGCACAUGUACCCGCACCAACUUGACAGCGAGUGUAGAACAUAGAAAGAUUAUGAUCCAAGGUUGCAACCUGUUCAUAAUUUUGCAAUGCAUCCCAAUAAACCUCAUUGUAGCUAUCACCAAAUAAAAAAUCAGAAACAAUACAAUUACUGGCAUAUGUACCAUGAUCAACCUAUCAAAACUGAUUUGACCUAAUAAGGACAUCCUUAAUUAAAUCACCACGUGUCCACGGCAUCGGCGGAGCUACUGGGUAUGCCGGGUGGGCCCUGGCAUACCCUGGGACCCAUCACUUUACCGUGAGAAAUCAAGCUGCAAAAAAUGAUUCUCAGGCCCAGCAGACGAUGCAAGGCAAAUGAUGCUCAGGCCCAGCUUUUGGCCCCCCGCUGGUUGUGACUUGCUUGCGUGGAUACGACGUGCUGUGUGCGGACUGCUUGCUUUGCUUGUCUCUAGUACAAGAUUGGCCCACGAUUUGACGCAUCACACCACAUCUCGACGAUUACAACUUCUCCGCCCGCCAGGACUCCUCCUAUCCUCUCACGGCUCCGCCGCAGCGCCGCCGGCCACCGCACCAGGCCACCAGGGACAGCGCGUCUGCGCAAGUGCGCAACUGCGUGGGGGAUUUUAUGCCCGAAAACUUCUGAUGGUCCAUAAGGAAAACUUCUCAUCGUCCACAAACCACAAGGAGGUUUAAGAUGAAUCUAUCUUCUAUUUUUUUUCUUAUUUGAAAAGACAUAUAUUCUUAAAUAUUUUUAUUUAUUUAUGUAUGAGUGCUUUUUUUAUUUCAGUUCGUGAGUUUAUUGAACAGACCGUCAAUCCAUCAACAUUCUUAACUUAAUAUCGUGUGAGGUUGUGAUUUGUAAGUUUUCUAUCCGAAAAUUUAAAACAUGAUUCUAUCGUUACAUGUUUGUUUUGCUAUAAUGUCUAGUUAGUUAUUGUACUUACAUUACAUAGACAUUGUUUUUUCAGAACAGUUGGAUUAUGAAGAGAGGCGGAGAUAUUGCAUCUCUUUUUCAGAAACAUGCAGCAAAGAAGGCAACAGCUGCUUCAAACACUAUCCCAUCUCCAGUUGAAACUUUUGUGGAAGAACAGAAUCAGGAGCAUGAUAGAGUGGUAGUUGAAGAAAUCGCGGAUCCUGUGCCCUUGCCUCCGCCACUGCAACCACCCACAUCACAGCCGCCGGUUUAUGACAUCAAUCGCCUUCCACAUGAUCCAGGUGAAAGGCAGCCCAUUGAAAGUUAUCAUGUUAAUGAUCAAGAUGCAAUUCGAAGAGCAUAUAUUAUUAAAGGUCGAUUCAAACCUGUUAAUCAUGAUUUUCCAUCAAGAAAAAUUGGAGGUAGGGAUCGCCAAUUCAAUUAUGUAUGGAUGUAUAAUCAUGAGUGGCUUGAAUAUAAUAUCAAGAAGGAUUCUGCGUUUUGCUUUAUAUGCUACUUGUUCAAGAAGGGUGCUGGGUCAAAUACAUUUAUUGUUGGAGGAUGGAAUAAUUGGAAUAUACGAAACAAAGCACUUCUCAAACAUAGUGGUUCUAUGGCACACAAUGCAGCUCAGGAGAGAUACAUUAGUUUUAUAAAUCCCAAGGUAGCAAUUGAUUAUCACAUUGAGAAGUGGACUGAUGAGGAUCUUCGUCUUUAUAAGAAAAGGUUGACAUAUUCACUUAGAUGUAUCAAGUUUCUUUUGCAUCAAGGAUUGGCAUUUCGUGGACCUGAUGAAAAUGAAGAAUCUAGCAACAGAGGAAAUUUCAUUGAACUUUUGAAGUUUCUUGCAGGAAAUAGUGAUGAAGUGAACAAGUAUGUCUUGAAUAAUGCUCCAGGUAAUUGCACCUUAACUAGCCCAGAGAUACAAAAGCAAAUUAUUCAUUGUUGUGCCAUAGAAACUAGAAAGAAAAUAAUUGAAGAACUUGAUGAUGAGCCCUAUGCAAUUUUAGCUGAUGAGUCCAGUAACAUAUCACAUAAAGAACAACUAGCUCUUUGUUUACGUUAUGUUGAUAAACUUGGAAGGCCUUGUGAACACUUUAUUGGAGUUGUUCAUGUAGAUGAUACUACCUCUUUGUCACUUAAGGAAGCUAUUGAGGGUUUACUUGUUAGUCAUGGAUUGACUAUGACUCAAAUUAGUGGUCAAGGUUAUGAUGGGGCCAGUAAUAUGAAAGGAGAUAUUAAAGGGCUAAAAACAUUGAUUAUGCAAGAAUCACCUUGUGCGUAUUAUAUUCAUUGCUUUGCACAUCAACUCCAACUAGUUCUUGUUGCUGUUGCCAAGAGAAAUACUGAUUGUAAGAGCUUUUUUGAUCAAGUAUCUAUCUUAUUGAAUAUUAUUGGAGUUUCUUGCAAGCGUCAUGGUAUGCUUCGAACUGCUAGGCUUGAGAAUAUUAAGAAAGCACUUGAGUGUGGUGAACUUGAAUCAGGGAGUGGAUUAAAUCAAGAGAUGAGUUUGCCUAGGCCUGGUGAAACUAGAUGGGGCUCUCAUUACAAAACUAUAUGCAGCAUCAUUACAAUGUAUUCCUCAAUCCAUGAUGUGCUCAUUGAUCUUGGUGAUGAUAUUUCACAUAAGGAUAAUUGGACAAAGAUACAUUUUGUGCUUGGAGCAUUUGAAACUUUUGAGUUCAUUUUCUUUGUGCACUUAAUGUUUGUUAUUCUUGGAUACACAAAUGAGUUAUCAGAGUGUUUGCAGAGAAGGGAUCAAGAUAUUCUUAAUGCAAUCUCCCUUGUUAAUGUGGCAAAGAACAAAAUGCAACAGUUAAGGUCUGAUGGUUGGGACCACUUCCUUGAGAGGGUCACUUCUUUUUGCAUUAAACAUGAUGUUGAAGUUCCUGCUAUGGAUGGUGAUUAUGUGCCGUAUGGAAAAUCAGCAAGGUAUGCCCGUGCUCGAAACCAAACAAAUGAUGAUCAUUUUAGAAGAGAAGUAUAUAUUGGUGUUAUUGAUCAAAUUAGGCAAGAGCUUGAUAAUCGGUUUGAUGAGAUCAAUAUGGAGCUACUUUCGUGUAUGUCAGCCUUCAGUCCUUCCAAUUCAUUUGCUUCGUUUGAUGCACAGAAGGUACGCAGAUUGGCUGAAUUUUAUACUAAGGACUUCUCUAACAAUGAUUUGCUAAAACUUGAAUUACAACUUGAUAAUUAUAUUGAUGACAUGCGACGAGAUGAUAGCUUCAAGGGUCUAGACAGCAUCGUUGAUCUCUCAGUUAAACUUGUUCAAACACGGAGGCACAAAGUGUAUGAUAUGGUUUACUUGCUUCUCAAAUUGAUAUUGCUUUUACCAGUGGCAACAGCGAGUGUUGAAAGGGUAUUUUCUGCCAUGGUUAAAGUGAAAACAAAGUCAAGGAAUAAGCUAAGUGACAGUGUUUUGGAUGAUUGUCUAGUCACAUUCAUUGAGCGGGAUAUUUUCUUCCAAGUGAAUGAAGAAGAUAUAAUCAAGACAUUCAUGUCAUUCAAAAAGCGGCGGGUAAACAAAGGAGACAAGUAACAUUGUAAGUUUCUUUUAUGCUAUAUUUUGAACUAUUUAUAUUGUGAUUUGUUAUUGUUUCUAGCUUAAUCUUUGAAUUUAUCGAAUUGUAAAUGGUUUUAUCGAAUUGCAUAAAAAUUUUUUUUGGCAUACCCUAUGAUAAAAUUCUAGAUCCGCCGCUGGUUCACGGUUUUCUGGUUGCUCAGCUCAUAAGCAAUUGAUCAUGCUUGAUCAUUGUUGGGCCAUUGCAUGUCCAUUGGCAAUCUUGACAGAAAUAAUUGAGCUACCAAUAAUAGUGUUGCACGUGUCUGUAACGGGAUGUACGGCGCCUGACAAUAAUAGGGCACCAUCCUUUCGAUCUGACAGACAUAUUUGUGUUACAUUCCUAGUGUUUGUAGUAUUUUUAUUUUCCGCUCAUGUCUACUGAUAAUUUUGCUAUAUAUGGUGCCAUUCUAAGUGUCCUUUUGUGGUCAGCAACUCGAGCCCCUGCUGGCCACAUCAUAGCUUGUCUGCUGGCCUGGUGCGCGUGAACCACGAGGGGAGGACCACAGUGGGCGCUCAGACAAUGUGCAUUAAGUCUGAGCUAAGCUGCCUUCUUCCUCAUCUUGUUAGUGGCCGUUUGACCCGGGACUAAAGGUCCUUAGUCCCGGGUCUAAAAACAAUCGGGACUAAAAACGCUGGAUAGGAGGUCUCUUAACCUAUCAAAACUGAUUCGACCUAAUAUGGACAUCCUUAAAUCACCACGUGUCCAUGGUUUUCUGGUUGCUCAGCUCAUAAGCAAUUGAUCAUGCUUGAUCAUUGUUGCGCCAUGUCCAUUGGCAAUCUUGACAAAAAUAAUUGAGCUACCAAUAAUAGUGUUGCACGUGUCUGUAACGGGAUGUACGGCGCCUGACAAUAAUAGGGCACCGGAACCUGCAAUAUGUCUGGCCGGAAUAUGCAAUAAAAUCCUUUCGAUCUGACAGACAUAUUUGUGUCACAUUCCUAGUAUUCGUUGUAUUUUUAUUUUCUGCUCAUGUCUACUGAUUAUUUUGCUAUGGGGCCUGAUUGGUUUGUUGCCAAAUGUGCAUGCCAAAGUUUUGCCAAGCCAAAAGUUGAGCAAGAAACUUGCUAAUAUUUUAGUAAGAUAAGUGGGAGAGAUUGCUAAAUUUUGGUAACAAACCAAACAAUGGCCAAAAUAUUAGCUUGCCAAAUCCCUGGCAUGCCAAAAUUUUGGUAGUGAACCAAUCAGGUGCCAUUCUAAGAGUCCUUUUGUGGUCAGCAACUUGAGCCCCUGCUGGCCACAUCAUAGAUUCAUAGCUUGUCUGCUGGCCCGGUGCGCGUGAACCACGAGGGGAGGACCGCAGUGGGCGCUCAGACAAUGUACAUGAAGUCUGAGCUAAGCUGCCUUCUUCCUCAUCUCAUAAGCAGUUGAUGCAUGCCUUACAGUGACUGACAUGGCCCAAUGGCACCAAUCCUGCUAACACAAAAUAAUAUUUCAAUCAUUUUUGGGAAAAAGGAGGGUCCAAUUUUGACUCCAUAUGCAAAAGUUGCGCCUGUUUUAUCGAACACUAUGCAAGUUAUAUUAGGGUUUUUUGGGUGCAUGUUUCAAUUGACAACUAAAGAUUAUCUACAACCAAGGACUCCACUAGACUGGCAAAACGGAAGUGAAAUUUUGUAGUUGAAAACCUUUUUCAUUAAAUUGAAGUCGUUUGUAUAUGUAAAUUGUGACAAAAUGUUCUGGACGGUAAUGGUUAAAAGGAAGCCAAGCAUGGGUGUAGUGGCCUGGCUAGAGGGCAUCACGCAUAGGUUUGAGGUUGGAGGUUUGAAAGACAAUCAAAACACUUGUGUUAAUGGCACCGCAAAAAUGGUUGAGGCAAGGGGUUGCAAACGAACCGACUGUACAGUCGGAUCACAAAACGUUAGUACAAAUUGUACAGAUGCUUGCUUAAAGUCGGUUCACAAACCUUCAGUAUAAAUAGUUCUGUAAUAGUGAUUUGUAGUUGUAAUAUAUCACAGGCCGAAACAUGCAGAUACAGGCAUCCCAGGACAUGCAACGAAAAGGAGAAAACAAGUGAUCAUUUUAUUGGUGUUUUAAACCGUCAUGUAACUCAUGUUUACUUUUGUUACAAGAAAUAGAAAUGCACAAAGACAUUUCUAUAAUACUAUUACUUUGCUACGUGGAAUUGGAACUUUGUAUCUGUGUCGUGGUUAGCGUCACGGUGCGGCAGAGGUAUCUCUGGAGCUGCCGAGCUAGUGCUGGUAGGAAUCUGUGUCGUUGUGGCCUUGUGGCCUUGUGGCAUGGUAGGUGCUCAGCAAUUAAUCGCACGUAUUGAAAACGUGUCUGUGGUCCUAUUGCUCAGCUCACCAAGCUCAUAUAAUGUCUUACACAGCAACGCACAGCAGCCAUGGCGAGCAUGGAGAGCCGAAGCCUCCCCAGGGCAGCAGCCACCUCAAUGGCGCAAGCUAUCGCCAUUGUCUUCCUGAUCUCAACUGUUGUCCAAGAACUUAAUAAUAUAACACCUAUGUCAAAGUUUUCAAGCAUGGCCACAAGCUCGCGCAGGCAGACCUAAUUACCAUUCCGAGGCAGUCUCAACUGUUGGCUCAAGAUCUGACGAUUGCUGCCAUUCCAAUUUCGAUUAAAAACACGUAGUGAUGACAGCUCACUGGAACCCUAACUUCACCCCUUAGGCCCUAAUUUCACUUUCCCCCUCACGUCUCCUCCUUCCUGUCUCUUUAUGUUAAUUUUUAUACUCGAAAAAUGUGAGAUUGAACUAACUGUAUCUCUAGACAUUAUGUAAAAAAAUAUGAAAAUAUCAACAAUAUAGUUUCGACAACCAUUCAUAAAUUAAAUAUUAAUAAUAUGAAAUCGGCAUGCAUGGUGUCGGGUCCAUGGUGUGCUAUCCGUGUGUUAGGCGGAGUGAGACUGAGAGAUGAUGGAGAAAGUAGAGGCCUAGUACACGUCAGUUAUUUUCUGUUACUUUCUUAAUGUUCUUUUUGUGGUUAGGCAUCUGACUGGCACAUCAUAAGUUUGUCCUGGGCUGCUCAGCUCACAUGCAAUUGAUGCUUGACAGUGACUGUCAAAACUAGUGUUGCUCGAUUUGACGGCUUAUACAUGGAUGCCUGACAAUCACAAUGAAACCUCCAUGUUCAAACACAAUCACAAUGCAAAUGCCUGCCCUUGGAUCCGACUGAUACAUUUGUGUACUGACCACUGCUGGCAACAUCAUAGCUUGUCUGCUGGCCUGGUGCGCGUCAACCACGAGGGCAGGACCAGUGACCUGGCAAGGUGAGGUGGGUCGCUCAGACAUGGUGCUUUAAGUCUGAGGUGACUCUGCUUUAUUCGUCUUUCUUUCAACAGUGUUCAACAUCCAUCGAUCAUGAUUUGUGAAGUACCUGGAUUUAUUACUUAAUAUAGCAUUUCUCAUCUAACAUUGCACAAAGACCUUCAUGAAUUCUUGAUUGCUUUUUGGAACGCGGAAAGCACAAUCGUUAUUUUCCUUUAUAAGUUCAUUAAAUGGCCAUGAACCACGAUACAUUCAUAGCUUUUACCGUGUUGGCAAUUUAUAACUAAACAUGGUCUACAAACAAGGACUCCCCUAGACCAGCAAAACGGAAGAGGAAUUUUGUAGUUGACAACCUUUUUCAAUAAUUUUAGAAUAUCUUCAUUUAUUUAUCAAUUCUAGUUUUACUAUCCGGACCAGUUUGUGUAAACGCCAGCACGGGUGCUAAUUAUAUGCGUCGGCUUCAUUAUGUUGGUAUGAUAACCGAUACAGAUGACAUUUUAGCGGUACGGAUGAGGUGCUCUCUAGUUGUAAUAAUCAACUCUUAAAAAUAUAACUUAGAAACUCGUCUUGGUCACUCGUGCUGCUUUGCAAGUUAAGCACUUUGAGUGCUAUAGUUCUUUUUAACAUGUCUACAUUGAUGGAUCGAGUGCCAUGAUUCUUUUGUGUUUACUUUGAAAAGAAGAAGAUGGCUUAGAUUCUGCAUUCAGAGUUUGAACCUACAAGUGUCAAGGGGCCAUACAUUCCUGAUUUCCUGUGUGCAUUGUUGGCUGUUGUUUGCCACUAAUAUAAUACAGACACCGUCGUACUUUCUAUUGGAUGUGGAUGUCCUAUUUUUCUGAUUCUAAUGCUUGUGCAUUUAUUAAGGAUCUAGAAACAAAAUUGACAGCGCGGCUUUCAGUUAAAAUAAUAUAAGUAAUUAGGAGUAAUGUGAUCAAUUCUCACAACUAAUAAUAAUAAUGUGUCUGAUUUUUUUCAAAAAAAAACUUAUUUGGGAACAGUGGGAUCGAGUACUCUUUUUUAGGUGCAUUUAAACUUACUUAUGCUAUUGGAUCAGGGGCGCCGGACACCACUGAAGUAUCACUAAUUAGCUAGUUCACCACGCUCCAAACCAAAAUGGAUUGAGAAAUUAAAAUGGAGCCGGAGGAGCAGUGCCUCGGAAUCGUAUCUCUUCGGCAAGCCAGGGGACAGGCUCUGGUGACGGGGCGCGUUGUAAAAGCCGCUCUUUUUGUCCGGUUCGACCUGUUCUGAAUCUAUUGCUCGAUUUGAGGGCCUAUACAUGUGCAAUGCAACAAUGGUGUUACAUCUCCAUACUCAUCUACCUAAUAGGGCACCGGCACAUGCAAUGCAAGUUCCUGCAUGCCUGCCCAUCGAUCCGACAGAGAGAUUGGUGUUAAUUAGAAUCAUAUUCGUCACUGACCAAAAUUUCCAGAUAACCAAGUCUAAUCAGUUACUGUAUAUGAUACUUUCAUGCUCAUGCCUACUGACCAUCUUACAAGUACUAUAUAUGAGUGUCCUUUUGUGGUCAGGCACUGCUGCGCGUGAACCACGAGUGGACGCCCAAUCAAAGUAACUGUGUCGUUGCGUGAGAUGCCUCCUCUCCUUGCCUCUUAAUUAUUAAGCCAUGUCCAACAACGACAACAACAAUGAUAAUAAUAAGGAACUGAGGUGAGACAGCUAUAUGCAUAAAUAUAAUUCAACAUAUGGACAAACAACAGAAUAUCUAAGACCUCCUAAUGAUCAGAGUUUUAUAUAUUUCGCUUUAUUUCAACAGUUAAACAUAAAUCGAAUAUGAUUCGUUGAGUAUCUACGAGCUUAGAACUUUUAUUAAGCGUUUAGGGCUAUGUUUGUUAGGAAUCCUUUUAUCAGUGAGUGCUGGUUGCUGAUUUGCUUCGAUCCAUGAAAAUAAGGAUAAAUUUGAAAAGAAAGCACAUAGGAAUCUUAGAGACUUUGUAGUGGGCAAUGCCUUCCAGUAGCUUCUCUUCUAAGCUAAAUUUGGCAUCAUAUGAACAAGUAGAAGCUUAGAUGGAUUAAGAGCUACAACUACAUACAAGAUGUUGAAGAAUACUCGAGUGUUUUUUCAUUGCGAAUGACCAUAAACGUUCUCUUCCUCUAGAAAUUUCUUCCAUAGAAAGAGUUUACAAAGAGACGAGCUGUGCACGGAAGACUUUGGUGCUAGCUCAAAGACGGGGCAGCUUGCUGCCUGGACGCAGCCUCGCCAUUUUGAGAACUGGUGUUAAUUACAGAGUCCCGGUAUGGAUGAGACCAAAUAUCUAAGUUGCGAGCGAUAGCCCGGAGCGUUGCAUUUGUGUCAGCAUUAUACGAGCGGAAAACCACGUUGUUGCGGCUGUUCAAAAUUCUCCACAGCACGAUCAGAAGAACAUGAUUCCAAGCGCCUUCAGAAAGGUGUGGGGGCUGCCCGCAGCUCCAUGGGUCUGCCUUUCCCGCGCCAUCAUAGGUGAUCAUCAGAGUAUCCCAAAUUGAAGCAGCAGCAGGACACUCGAAGAAGAGAUGCAUAUCGCUGAUUCCACUACCGUACCGCGCAGCCGCGAGGACAAAAGGCUUCAUCUUCCUUCAGGAUGUUUAUGUAUAUAUGUAAAUUAUCACAAAAUGUUCUGGCCGGUAAUGGUUGAAAGGAAGCAAAGCAUAGGAGGAGUGGCUAGAGUGCAUCACGUAGAGGUAGGCCUGCUAAUUGGAUUGAAAUCCAACUCUAACCCACACCAAUCCACAUCACGUUAAUUUCUUUUUUCAACCUAACUCACCCCAUAUCUAUAUUAUCUAAACCCAAACCGUUGAUAAAACUCAUGGUUUUGCUAUAUAUAUAAACCUAUGGGCUUAUAUAAAAAACUCGUAUAUAUUUGAAAUAAACGUGAGUCCACCAUGUGGGUCCUACGUGAAGAGCUAGACUCUAAAACUAAAAUGUCGUAUUCACACCUUAAAAUUUUAGCGAAAUUGAUCGAAAUUUGUUGGAGAUGACAGAGUUUGACUGCACGCUACAUUAUGCUAAAUAGUAUGGCUAAACAUACAUAGAGAAAUGAGGAAUGAGGUUGCAGGUUUGAAAGGCAAUCAAAACACUUGUGUUAAUGUCACGGAAAAAACGGUUGAGUCCAGGGGUUGCAUCACAUAUCCACCUAGGACCCUUGUGGUUGCAUCACAAUCGCACGUGUUGAAGAACGUGUGUGUGGUCCUAUAUAUUCUCCUAGAGGCACUCAGUCACCGGGGACUUCUAUUGCUCAGCUCACCAAGCUCAUAUAAUACCUAGUAGCUCGAGCACAGCAACGCACGCAGCCAUGGCGAGCAUGGAGAGCCGAAGCCUCCCCAGGGCAGCAGCCACCUCCAUGGCGCUAGCUAUCGCCAUUGUCUUCCUGAUCUACACAACCGCACGACUGGGAGAUGCGGCAUCCGUUGAGCACACGUUCAUGGUAAGUACGCAUGAUCCUGUUUCAUUCCCUUUGAUCGACUUGUCAGGCGUUAAUCGGUUAUGGUGCAACGAUAUUUACAUUGUAUUAUAGGGUGUUUUUUAAGACAAGCAUAUGCAUCGAUAAACGGUUCUAGAAAAUUAUUUUCUAAAUUAAGAUAUGCGUAAUCAACAAAGGCGUACAUUAGUGGUCACGGGUAGAAAACUCACCUUUAGUCCCAGUUGGUAGGGAGCAAAUCUCCCGAAAAUCCAUCCAGGAUAAACCAAUCGAGACAAAAGGGGGGUCUUUUGUCCUGGGUCACUCAACCGGAACUAAAGACCCCCUUUUAUCCCGGUUGGUAAUACCAACCGGGAUAAAAAGGGUCGCCACGCCAGGCGCAGCUCCCAAAAAAAACAAAGAAAUCCCGGGGACCCCCACACGUGAUUUUUCACGCGAAAUAUGCGCGUGCGUGGUGCGUAGCUUCCUUGCCAUCCCACCUACACAACACAUCUAACUAUAUAGGGAAUGCAAUCCUUUUGUAUUAACUCGUGGGGUCCCAGGCUGGAAACAUCAACAGGGACUAAAGACCCCUUUUAUCCCGAUUGGUAUUACAAACCGGGAUAAAAGGGUUCGAGGGAUUUAGUCCUUGCCAUCCGUGGGGGACCAUUUUAUCCCGGUUGGAAACACCAAUCAUGGUAAAAGAUCCCCUUUUAUCCCAGUUGGUAUUACAAACCGGGUUGGUGUUUCAAACCGGGAUAAAAGGCCUUUCAGGGCCUUUUUUUUUCCACUAGCCUUUGCAACCGGGAUAAAAGGUCCCGGUUGGUGAGCCCCCGUCAGUGACCGAGCUUUAGUCUCGAUUCGUGAACCUUUUAUCCGGUGCCAACUUUAAACCGGGAUAAAAGAGGGUGCAUGGAAGGUGAGUUCUCUACUAGUGGAUUCCCUAUGAAUUCUUAACAAUUCAACCACGAUGUAGGUAUAUAUGUAUCCAUGCUUGAUUUCUUGGAACAUGCACAUAUAUCUGUAGGUGAGCCAGGUGAAGAUGACACACUUGUGCAAGGAGACACUGGUCACCGUGGUGAAUGGGCAGCUCCCAGGACCAGCGAUAGAGGUCACGGAGGGAGACUCGGUGACUGUUCAUGUCGUGAACAAGUCACCCUACAACAUAACAAUACACUGGUAAUCAGCUGAGUUCCUACUCAAUACAAUCACUUUUCUUCCCAAGGACACUAAAAAACCUAUUAAUGUACAUUCACUUUGCAGUGGAAAUAAAAUAAUAAGAUGCUUUCCAGUAAUUCAUCAAAAUAGAAUAUUUUAUUUUAUUUCAUCUUUCGCCAUCUUUUUCUUCUGUGUUGUCUGAUGUAGGCAUGGAGUGAAGCAGUGGCUUAACUGUUGGGCUGACGGGGUGCCGAUGAUUACCCAACUCCCUAUCCAGCCAAACCAAAAUUUCACCUACCGGUUCAACGUCAUCGGGCAGGAAGGCACCUUGUGGUGGCAUGCUCACGUCCCCUUCCUCCGGGCAUCACUGCAUGGCGCCCUCAUCAUCCGGCCAAGAAAUGGGGCGAGCUCAUAUCCAUUUCCAAAGCCAGACAGGGAGGUCCCAAUCAUAAUAGGUUCGUGAAUUAUCUACAUCAUAUUCACUAGCUGUGUUACGAGAACAGAACAAACUGCACCUGAUUUUUUAUUGGAAUCUGUUUGGAAAAGAGAGAAGAAUGGACUGUUCCUAUUUGAAUUGAACUGUCUUUGACUUUGGCAGCGGACUAUUGGCAGCUAGACCUUGCACAGGCGGCAAGGAGGAUGAUGCAUGGUUUCUUGUUUUCUUUCGCCAAUGCUUCCACGAUCAAUGGCAAGCUUGGAGAUAUCUUCAAUUGCUCUGGUAAGAAAUUACUUUCUUACAGCAUUGAUGUCCGUGCCAAU
rnacentral:lncRNA from 1 species